GACUUUGCCGGGUUCGCGGUGACUAAUUCGCCUCCUGAUUUAGAUUGGUGACUGUGUUAGCCUCAUUCUCUAGCUAAUUUGCUAGACCAUAUCCGUCUCUAUUGGCUUCCUUGUGUGUAGUAGGGAAAAAAUCGGCGUGAGUGAGGUGAGGGGCAUCUAGCCCUCCUGCGUAGUAGGUUCCUAGUUAUUCAGUUGCCUCGCAAAACCGGUCAAUGCAGUGGCCGUUCAAAGUAUUCUUAUUUAUUGCCCUGAGUGCAGUGCAAAUCCGUUUUGAAUGCCUUCUUUGACCAGCCAGCAUCAGUGGACUGCAUUGUCUAUGGGCACCUUCCUUUUCUUCUUUAUAUAUGAGCAGCAUUACAGGGCCAGGGGUGUGUGUGGCUAUCGACCACCCACAGCACUUACUAAGCUUUAAGAAUGUGAUAAAGCAUGGCUGCGAGAUGAGAAUUGACUCGUGCUUUAUUUAUAAAGCGGGGCUAGAGCCUGUUCGAGAGAUGAGAAGAUCGAGUUCUAGUUUCUAUCAUCUUAUCUCCCAUACACACACACUCUCUCUUGCGAAAUCAGCAUAUCCUACUCAGCUACAAUUAGUGCUACUUUCUUCGUUGUUUUUAACAUCCUAGAGCCCAGUGGCUGACCUAAAAUGUGGGGGGUGCCGCAAUUAAAAAAUGUAAAAAUUUACACUACAGAUAGUAAAAUUUGAUGUAAACAUCAUUUUAGUCUUAAUAAAAAGUCUUAAAAUAGCAUGAGCUGGUUAACUAUCUAGUAUUAAGUAUAUAAAAAAUAUUUUACAAUUUUGGCAGCCCAUGUCGCCACCCUAGAUCCGCCCCCUGCUAGAACCCCUGCCCUCAAACAAACAAAAGAAUGACCGUCCGCUGAUAGUUACAAAUUUACCGAAAAUGGCUAAUGAAAGAUGCUAUUUAUAGACUGCCAUCAUAGAGAACGUACAAUAAAACUUCUCUACUUUUAAGUAAUGUUGACUCAUAAUACACAUAAUAAUAUUUAAUUAGUCAUGUGAAAUAUUACAUGAUUUCGUGGAGAAAAAUAUUUUUAUUUAUAAUUUAUAUAUUUUACUUUUUUGUGGAGGAUAUAUUUUACUUAUAUGAAAAGCAACAAGGGAAGAUAUGUGUUAGAGCCGGCGGAUAUUAAAAAUGGCCUGCUGGAGGAUAUGCUUCCACAUGUAAAAGUAAUUCUACAAAUGUAAAAAAGUCCAUAAUUCUAUUCACAUGUAUUUGUUCAUGACUCUUUGGAUGUAUGUAAUUUUUUAAUGAAAAAAACACAAGAAUUGUGACUUGUGCUAAAAUAAAUCAAAUUAGUGCUUCAAAAGUUGCUUUUUACACCAAGGCAUUUUCUUUUCAUUUUGGCCAAGAUCAAAACAUAUGACAUAUUUUUGUGGAAUCUUACAGGAAGAUAGAAGGCACAGGUGUGCAUGUUGUAAUUCAAUUCAGUUUUUGUUUUUAAGUAUAUUUUUACAAUUUUACUUUUCAUCAGGGAGCAUAUAUAUAUGCCCCUAGGAGACAAAAUGUCGGCAUCAUGCAAGCGGUGCCUAUUUUCAAACACUACUGCACUAUUUACUGAUAGAGGGAGAUCUUGUAAUACAAUUGUUAGUAAAAGCAUUUUUGUAUUGCUAUAUUUCUUUGUACAUCUUUAUUAAUAUUUAAACCUAUAAGUAUCAAAGUAAUGUAACCUACAUAAAACUCGAAAUCAAGUAAGAAGAAACAAAAUGAAUAAUAAUCAUGGUACUACAUUGUUUGUAUCCAAAUGUAGCAAUUCUAUUCUAAUCGGGACCCCCCCCCCACCCCCCCACACACACAAUUUUGUCUUAGGAUAGGUUAUUUUCAUGUUUGUUGCAUUUAAAUCAUAUGAUUUUUCCGUUCAAUGUGAUAUGGUGUCACUAUAAAAAACUUUCUCAUUAUAGCUCACAUUGUUGGAUACUAAACUUGAAAUGGAAGGUUAUAUACUCACCAAUCGAAAACAAAAAUAAUAAUAAUGGAAGUUCCAUAAGAAACAAAAUAUGUUUGAAUAUUGAAGCUCAAAAGAUCAUGCCAUCUCUUCGUAUCAUAGAAGGUCGACACAACAUUUAUGCACGACGGGUUGUAGCUGUCGUCACAAAGGAUAGUCAAUGACUAAGAGAUAAAGGAUAGUCAAUGACUAAGAGAUAGCCAUGUACAUAGACUAUUUUCCCAAGUAAUUGGCAGGAACACUACCUUUUAAUUAGAAGAGGACAUUUUUUUGCAAAUAUAUACGCAUUUUGACCGGCAUAACCAAUGACAUGCCAAGAUGACACGGACAAAAAAAAGUCAAUGGCUGACAGAACCGGAGAAGUAAGAUCUGAGUUAACCUUUAUUGUCCGAAAAUAGUCGCAUACACCUAACAUGUUUUUCAACAACGGUUACCACCGGUUGCCUGGAUUGACUAGAUCGGGCAUAUUAUUAUAAGGAUAAUUAUAUAUAAUCUGAGUUGGUUUCGAACACAAUUAUAGAGCCAUUGGAUGCGCUAAAAUGUUUGCUAAUACACCUAUUGUACUCCUUAAUUGACCCUUCAGGUGAAGAUGCUUGUAAUAUAGUGAGUAUUUUGUCUUCAUUUAACAAUGUAUUAAAAAGAGGGAAGCUGCAUCAUUUUAUGUUGUUUGAAGGCAUCCACCCAACUCAAAAAAGAAGAAGGCACACACAACAAAUAUAAUUUCUCCCAUCGUUUUUAUUUACUCCACAUAUUAGCAUUGAGCAAAGUCAAACUUUAUAAAGUUUGACCAAGUUUGUAGAAAAUAAUAUGAACAUCUACAGUAACAAAUUUAUAUGAUGUGAAAAUAUAUGCAAUGAUGAAUCCAAUAGUAUUGAUUUGAUGGUGUAUGUGUUAAUAUAUUUUUCUACAGACUUGUUGAAAGUAUUUAAAUUUGAUUUUAGACAUACCUAAUAUGCAGAGUAAAUAAAAAUGAAGGGAUUACUAUACAAGAGGGGGAGGGUUGAUUGAUGAGAAAAUGUCUUCUCAUGCUUUACUUGUAGCCAGUUCUGGAACAUGUGGUUAAUUCUGAGGUAAUUUUGAGGAAUUAGGGGCGAUAGGUCUUGAGAAUUUUCCAGUGAGCAAAAACGCAAGAAGAACGUUGUGUGUAAAUGAAAUGGUGCGGCUUAAGGACCGACAAAAUGAUUUUUUGAUACCCUUUUGAUUUGCCUAGAUACAUCCGUUUCAGACCGAGGGAAUAGUGGCUUCGUACGGAUACUAACAGCCAAUAAAUAAUUUGUUAGGCAGCAUGGGUGAUGAAAUAGUGCAUACACAUGGUGCAAAAGAGAUGAAUCUAACAUACCGAAUUCUGCUGGUUCCGCGCCUCCUAGGCUCGUAGCUAGGUAGUUGAGCCUGGACUGAAAUUGAUGGUUGGAAUUGGAUACUUGGACCGAUAUGCACGCAUAUUCCGUGCCUCUGGACCGGCCGGCCGGCGUACUUAGGUCAGUGCCAGGGCAGGGUGGUGGCUAGCUAGAGCAACUUCAACACGUCGAUUCAAAUGGACGCGUGCUUUGUCCGCUUUGCGUCUGUUUGAAUUGAUCAGGCGGACGUGGGUAUCCGGUUUUUUAUUUGGAUUGGCAGAUGCGCUCAAUGGAAGGCCGACCCAUUUAUUUCGACGUGGUCGAAACUGCGAAUUAAACAUAAUUAUACAUAAAUGUCCGGUCAAACGCCGGCCAAAGUCCACUUAAACAUAACUAGAAAAUUAAAAACUCUAAUAAAUGCCCGCACGCUGCCCUAGUAGACCGCCUUGCCCUUGCCCUUACCCUUCCCGUCGUCGUCGUCACCGCCGAUGAGGUCAAUGAAGACGGGGGAGGCCCAGCCCACCCGAACGCGGCGUGAUAGGCCGCGAGGGUAGUCUCCUCCGGCGUCUACUGCGGCGGCGGCAUAGCGGCGAGGCGGGCGCGCUCCUCCUCCUCCUCCUCAAGCCGCAGAGCCUCCUCGUCGCGGCGCAACAUCUGCUCAUAUCGCAUCUGCCGCUCGCCGUCGGCCCCCUUCUCGGCGAGGCAAUGCGCCUUCCAGCGCUUAAGGUGGGUUGCCUCUUCUUCCGGCGUGGCGGCGUAGUGGCAGGGAGGCGCUGCGGGUUCAGAUGCCAGCCGUGCGGCAAGUUCACAUCUGGAUACGACAAGGGCUGGCGGUAUUGCCAUUGCCACCGCACCUGGUGGAUUGGGAUUUAGAGCCGCUCCCGCUUCCGCGGUGGCGUGCCGCGCCUAGCCGGUGGCGACGAUGCAGAGCACUCGCGGGAAGAGCUCGCUCCAGCGCUGAACCUCCCCUUCUUCCCCCUUCCCGUUGAAGAGCCCCAUGGCUGGGUGGCUAGGGUUUUGCUGCUGGCUGGCUAGGGUUUCCUGAUCGCCGGCAAGGGAGCAAAUGUGGCUAGGUGUGGACGGGGGUUGUGGAUGAGGCCGGUCCCGUCGCACGCGUCCAUUAAAAUGGACGGGCACGCGGCCCUUCUACGCACUGUCAGGCGAGCCCGGUGUCGGUGGUCGUCAUAAAUAUGACCGUCGGUGGUUGGGCGGCCGAUAUGUAAGGCCAUGAUGGUCUGGUAGAUAUCAAUGAAAAGCGCGGUCCGCGCCGACACAUUUCAAGGGCAAUUUUGGGCUGCGAUCCAUUGCUGCCAAGCUCGUGGCUGGCUGUGACCGCUAGGUGCGCAUGUGGUCCUGUUCACUUACUCGGCCACCGAAAGCGCGGUUGUGGCACGUGAGCCCUCGUCCUUUAGGAAUUGAUCACUUUGACUGUUUAUGUCUUUGUCGUUGUGCAUUUAGCUACGCCUUUUUGACUGGGAGGGCAGAUUCCGGAUCGGAUCCACAUACCAAUAGCUAGAUUAGGAAGGGUGGUACGUGCAGCCAGGUAGUACUCCGUUUUGGAGGUGUUUCUGAGACAACCUAAAAUCUUAAACGCGCAGCUGUGCUCGUUCGUUAUGGCGGACGCACGCGCUACACGAUAAGAAAUUUUAUGCUCCUGUCUCCCGUCUCUUUCUCGCACGUGGUUCCAAUACACGGCCCACAGAAAGGAAUUAAUGCACAGAAAAAGGAGCUGGUCCACCAUGUCUCAGUGCGCCCAUCCAUUUCGUGAUUUCCCAACAAGAUCCCAAGUUGCAUGUAUUUAAUUUGCGUUUUCAAAAUUUCAAAAAGCUAUAACUUUUGAACCGAUCAUCGAAACUCAAAUUUGUUUUCACGGCUGGGUUCCACGCGACGAGCUCUUCAAAACUAGAUCUCAUAUGAGUAUGUUUUGACUAACUUUUUUUAUGAGCAACUUUGGGUGAAACGGAAGCAACUUCAGUGCUAUAGGAAAGCAACUUACUGCCAGUCUGCGUAGGAUGACUGUGUAUCAUCGAAAAUCCCUUUGAAGUUAGCUAGCUUCACCUGUAAGUUUCCUACCAUAACUAGUUUAGUUUUGCCUCUAAGUUGAUAGUAUUGUAGGCAACUUAGUUUUCGAGCUAGGCUAAUAUUUAUCCUAAGCUGCCUGCCAUGACUAGCGAAUAGUUUAACAUCAUCCUUAGUUGCAUAAAAUACUUUUUGGUAUGCUAAGCAACUUAGUUUCAUAGAUAUGCAACUUAGUAACACUUAUACACAACUUUUCAAUGUAUUGUAGGCAACUGAAAAAGUAAUGUCAGGCAACUAAGCAUCACUGUUAGGCAACUUCAGAGUGUUUGUAGGCAACUUAGGAAAACAAUAAUAAGCAAGGGCACAAUAUUUACGUGCCGUGACUAACGAGUAGCUUGACAUCAUCCUAAGUUGCCCAUAUAUGGAAAGAUUCAUCUACUAUAGUAUGUUGAUCUUUCAUAAACUCGUCUGACCAACCAUAUGAACCCAACGAUGACAUAACAUGCAUUAAUUUCAGUACAAGAAAAUUCCAGAAUAUAACUUUCAAACUGCGUGUUGGAAUUAUGACCCGUUUUCAUCAUUGGGUUCCUCGUGAUGAACUCUUCAAAACUAGAUCCCAUAUGAAUAUGUUUUGGUGCUUUUUUAAAGCAACUUUGAUGCUAGAUGAGGCAACGCUAGUGCUAAAAUGGAGCAACUUUAAUGCUAGAUGAAGUGCAUUGUGUGUGUUAGUGAUUCACCUACUAGCCUACUAAUAGUUGUGUGCAAUAGUCUAAUGGAUGGUUAUCAUGGUUGUUGAGUUGCAUACAUCAAAAACUAAGUUGUCGAUAGUUUAGUUGCCUACGAUACUAUGAAAGUUGCUUACCGCAGAGUGGAAAGUUGUCUAACACGGCUUCUAAGUUGUCUGCCUCAGAAACCAGGUUGCCUAUAUUGCUACGAAAUUGCCUACACACCCCAAUUGCCCAAAAUAGUAUGAAAGUUGUCCAUCAAGGGACCUAACUUGCCUACAAUGUUGAAAGUUUUUGUGGGAUAUAAGUUGUCUAUCAUGAUUUCAAAUUUCGAAACUAUGUGGAGAUGGAUGGUGUGAUAGCAUUAUUCUUUCCUUUUCUGGGGGAGUCUAUCGGCCAACGCUACCGAGCACGUGGAUGUUAGCUAGCAAUGUCAUGGGUGUUGACUGGUUACAUAAGUAGGGACAGAUGAUAAGUUGCAUAGGGGGUGAUGAGAAGUUUCAUAGGGGGCGGAUCAGACAGUUGCCCACAAGCCUACACAAGUUGUUCAUAAUUUUUGCAUGAGUUGCCCGUGAAAAUUAUUGAAAUCUCCAGAUAUAAUGAUGGAAAACACACAUGAGUUGCUUGUUGAAUGCACUGGAGUUGCACAAAAACACCCCAAAAAUAGCUAACUUUUUUGUGUGAUACUCGGGUUUCAUAACGAUCUUAAAAUGCCAGUCAUCUGAGCAUCACCGAUAGGUAACUUCAUAGUGUUUUAGGCAACUUAGGAAAAACACAAUGAUAAGCAGAUAAUUGUAGGCAACUAAUUUACCAAGUUAGACAACUAAGCAGUAAUGAUAUGUAACUAAUUAUCAAUAGCAGGUAACUGGACAUCAAUGGUAGGUCAAUUUCAUAGUAUUGUAGGCAAGUGGGCAUCACUGAUAGGCAACUGAAUAUCCAUGGUAGGCAACUGAGCAACCAUGGUAGGCCAGUUGUGAUAAUUUUAGCAUUUUUACACAAACCAACCUAAUAGACAGUCCUCUAGGCAAAAAAAUGAAGUUGCUUUCCUGUAGCACUAAAGUUGCCUCUGUCGUACCCAAAGUUGCCUAAAAAAAAGUUCGACGAAACCUAUCUAUAUGGGAUCUAAUUUUGAAGAACUCGUCGCGAGAAAUCCAGCUGUGAAAGCGAAAUUAGAUUUCGAUGCUUAAAUCAAAAGUUAUAGCUUAUUAAACUUUUUGGACCUCCAAAUAAAUGCACGUGAGACAAGAUUCUUUUUUUGGUGGGCUACGUCGAGCGCACCAGCAGGUCUUUCCAUAUUUGAAAGAGCGCUCGAUCCCACCAACGGGCGCUCGCGCGCCUGCUAGCCACGUCCUUGAAACAAAGGUAGGAGUACUCAGUUUUUACGUGCUCACAGUAGAGUGGAGGUGUAAGAGCAUCUCCACCCGCGCCCCAGAACGGCCUCUCCAGGCGAUUUUUUUGCACCGACGCUAAAAAAACGGUCUAGUCGCGUCCUCAGGAGUCCGUUUUUCGCUAGGAGCCCGUUUUUCGGCGGCUUGGGCUGAAAUCAGCGCCGGGGGACCCAGGCCGAACCCGACGCGCCGGGGGGCGCCCGGGGGCGCCGGGGCGAAUGUUUUGGCGCGAAACAGCCGCGGGCCGCCGAGUCAGCGAGGCAGCCGCUUUGUCAACAUCAUCGCCUCGGUUCCCACGGGAAUCAAUGCGAAGGCUGCCGCACUGCCGCGCCGGUCGGCCUCCAUUGAUGCCUCACGGGCGGCGCAGUGAAGACGUCGCCGACGCGCGUCCCGCCCGCAUGCGCCACGCGUCCGCCCGCAUGCCGCCCUCGGCCACCCCGCUUUGGCUAUAAAAGGCGCCCCUCCCCGCCGGUGAGCGCCACAACCUCCCCCUUACCUCCAGUGAAAGCCUUUUCCCCGCCGGCGAGCUCUCCCACCACUCCCCUGCCCGCCGACGAGCGAAACCAUGGCGGAGAGAUACCCAGGCGACGGCGCAGCGGUGAACGACUUCCGCCGCCGACACCUCCAGGAGCCGGAGGCGCGCCUUCUGUACGAGGCCGAGUACCCGGCGCGCCCCGACAUGCGCGUGCCUGGUUCGUGGAGACUGAGCGCCGCCGGCGUCCUGGUGCCGCCGGUGCCCGAAGGGGCGGCACGGCAGGCGGAGAUCGCCCACAUCCGCUCCUCGUUGACGGAGGAGCAGCGGAACAAGCCGAGGUACGCGCCCGACAGCGAAACGCUGUGGACGCUGUACUUCCAGCGCCGCCGCGAGGAGCAGAUCGCCUCCAUCAACGGCAUCAUCCCCCGCGGCCGCCUCAACUCCGAAGGACGACGCGAGUGGUGGGGCGUCCCCGGCCGCACACUCGAUGCCAUCCUCGACUACAUCGAGAUCGGCAAUGUGCCGCGACUGGAGUACCCGACGCGUCUCUCCUUCUCUCGCCAUUGCGGCAGUUCCUGGAUGCUGCGGCGAAUGGAGCCGGGGUCGUCCUUGUCAUCGGGCUCCGGCUCGCCGGCCCUCCGCCCCGUCAAGCCCGAGCCGGAGGAGACACCGCUCGGGCGUCGUGCUCGCAGCGACGCCCUCGUCAUCAACGAGCCCUCGCCUGCGACGGCACCGACGAGGCGCUCCCUCCGCCUGGUCCGACCGAAGCCCGAGCCGGACAUGCUCCCCGUGAAGCCGGAGCACGCCGGCAUGGUGGCCCCCGACGAUGAGUGUAACACCCCGCAUGUAGCUUGCCAUAUUUGUAACUCCGACUCUUGCCAUUUCCGGCUAUGUGAUAUGUUUUUCCCUCCGUUGUCGGGUUUUGUCUUUCGUGUUGUAUUUUGUCAUGUCAUGCUUUUUCAUAUCAUGUCAUCAUGUGCAUUGCAUUCGCAUACGUGUUCGUCUCAUGCAUCCGAGCAUUUUCCCCGCUGUCCGUUUUGCAAUCCGGCGCUCCUAUCUCCUCCAGUGCACCCCUCUUGUUUUCUUUCGUGUGCGUGUGUCAAACUUUCUCGGAAUGGACCGAGGCUUGUCAAGUGGUCUUAUUAUACCACCCGGAGACUACCGGUCAAGUUUCGUUCCAUUCGGAGGUCGUUUGGUACUCCAACGGUUAACCGGGCCUCCGCAAAGUCCAUUUGAGUGUCCAGCAAAACCCCCUCCAAAAUCAGCCCAAAGCCCACCAAACUCUCUUCCAUGCUCUAGGUCGUUCGAUCACGAUCGUGUGGGUGAAAACCGCACCUCAUUUGGAGUCUCCUAGCUCCCUCUACCUAUAAAUGAGUGGGCAUCCCGAAAAACGAAACUGCAGUCGAAACCCUAAUUUCCCCUCUCCGCGGGCGGACGCGUCCAGCCGCCGCCGGACAACGUCCGCCGCGCGCCCGGCCAACCGGAGCGCGACACGUGUCGCCGCCGCCUCUUCCACNNNNNNNNNNNNNNNNNNNNNNNNNNNNNNNNNNNNNNNNNNNNNNNNNNNNNNNNNNNNNNNNNNNNNNNNNNNNNNNNNNNNNNNNNNNNNNNNNNNNNNNNNNNNNNNNNNNNNNNNNNNNNNNNNNNNNNNNNNNNNNNNNNNNNNNNNNNNNNNNNNNNNNNNNNNNNNNNNNNNNNNNNNNNNNNNNNNNNNNNNNNNNNNNNNNNNNNNNNNNNNNNNNNNNNNNNNNNNNNNNNNNNNNNNNNNNNNNNNNNNNNNNNNNNNNNNNNNNNNNNNNNNNNNNNNNNNNNNNNNNNNNNNNNNNNNNNNNNNNNNNNNNNNNNNNNNNNNNNNNNNNNNNNNNNNNNNNNNNNNNNNNNNNNNNNNNNNNNNNNNNNNNNNNNNNNNNNNNNNNNNNNNNNNNNNNNNNNNNNNNNNNNNNNNNNNNNNNNNNNNNNNNNNNNNNNNNNNNNNNNNNNNNNNNNNNNNNNNNNNNNNNNNNNNNNNNNNNNNNNNNNNNNNNNNNNNNNNNNNNNNNNNNNCCGCCGGCCCCGCCGCCUCCUCCCUCCGGCCUCGCCUCCGGCUGCCCGCGCCGGCGCCGCUCCCUCCUCCGCCGGCGAGCAGCGCCCGACCACCGCGAGCCCGUGCCCGAGCCGGCCCCGAUCCGAUCUGGGUCAACGGAGAAGGUUGACCCGAGCCCCCCUCUUUUCUUCUAAGUCUGAAAAUAUUAUCAGUUUCUUGCUCUGUUCCCGAUGCGAUAACUUCUUGCAUGUAGCUUUGAUUCGUGCGUAUAAUAUGUCAAAUUGUUCGCCUUGUGAUACUCUUCAUUUUGUUCAAUUGCAUAAUUUUCAUUAGAGGUCAUCUUGAUGCCCAAAUCUUCGUUGGAAGAGGGCUAGUUGCUGUUAUUCUCUGGUUCUUGACAGAACUUGGAGAUUUGUCAUUUUUGUAUCAUUUAUUCUGUGCAUCUUUUGAGCAUGAGCUCUACAUGUGUUUUGAAGUAUGCCAUGCCAUCUUUCCAGUGGUAUAGUCCAUGUAUUUUUGUGAUCUAUGUGGUGACUAGCACAAGCAUGCAAAGUAGGCCCCGUAAUAUUUCUGAUUUCAGGGACUUAGUGAAUUCUCUAAGUCCUUGUCUGCUGUAAUUUUGUUGCCAUGUAAACUUGAUGCUAGAGAGAGAUCCAUGCAUAUUUUGGAGAUGUUCAGUAAGGAUGUUUUGUAGGUAUGAUUGUAAUUGAUCCAUUCCUACAAUUGUUUGCAAUUUUAGAGUACCAUAGCAUGACUCAAUCUUGCUCUACUUUUGCUAUAAAAUAUUUCUGGCAGAUUCUUAACAUGACAUGCAUUUUUGCCAAGCUUAUUGUAGUUGAUCCAUACAUGCUAUGCAAUUGUUCUUGCUAUGGAUAGCUUCAUAAACAUGCCUCUUUCUGUAGGUAUGCUUGGUUUGUCAUACAUUGCUCUGUAGUGAGUGUAUCAAGCUCACAAAGAGGCCUACAUAUUAAUAUUUCUGCCAUGCUCUGUUUUCUGCUAAGUCUGAAACCUGAUAACGAAACUUGCUAUGUUUACAUGCUUGCCAUCAUUUCUUCUGGUCCUUUUUGGCUUAUGGUCAGUAAGGGACUUUUGUCAUGUGCAUUUAGUAGAACACUACCAUGCCUUGUUUUGCUAUGUUAAGUUCCUGUAGCAUGUUGAUUUCGUGCUCUGAACAUUGCUACCUGAUGCUGAUUUCUGCCAUGUCCAGUUUUUCACUAAGUCUGUGAACCUGUAAUCUUUUGCACUUUUGCCAUGCUUGUUUGAGCUUGAUAUGUUGUGAACUAGCCGUAGCUCAGUGUUCAUCUUUUGUCAAGCAUAUCCUGUAGAUUACUUCCGUGUGCUUUGUUGCUAUGUUGGGGUGCUGUAGCUUUGCUACUUGUUGCAUUUUAAGUGCUAUCUUGCUGUUUAUCGCAGAUUAUUGUCAUUCUUGUUUUGCUCGCCAUUUGCAAACCGUGCAUCCGAUUCCGGUGAUCUUUAUAUCGAUUUUGACCGAAAUCAUCUCAUCUUUCCAGUGGCAUGCUUGGUUUGCCAAGUUACUGCCAUGUUCAUCUUUUUCCUUCCGGAGCACGCAUACGCAUCGCAUAUCAUAUCUUGCAUAUCAUACAUGUCUUGCAUCAUGUUGCUUGUGCAUUUCUCGUUGUUGAUUGUGGUUCCGUUUGUUUGUGUUCUUGUCUUGGGUAGAGCCGGGAGACGAGUUCGUGAACGAGGAACCUGUCGAGUACGCUUACGAGGAUCAAGCUUUCGACAACUCUGAGAACCUUGCAGGCAAGAUGACCACCCCUCGAAAUCACUUCUAUCUUUGCUAUGUUAGUUGUUCGCUCUAUUGCCAUGCUCGAUACCUAUCACUCGCUAUAUCAUGUCUCCUAUUUUAGCCAUGUUAGCCCUAACCAUCUUUUCCUAGCAAACCGUUGUUUGGCUAUGUUACCGCUUUUGCUCAGCCCCUCUUAUAGCGUUGCUAGUUGCAGGUGAAGUUGAAGUUUGUUCCAUGUCGGAACAUGGAUAUGUUGGGAUAUCACAAUAUCUCUUAUUUAAUUAAUGCAUCUAUAUAUUUGGUAAAGGGUGGAAGGCUCGGCCUUAUGCCUGGUGUUUUGUUCCACUUUUGCCGCCCUAGUUACUGUUUUACCGGGAUUAUGUUCCUUGAGUUUGCGUUCCUUACGCGGUCGGGUGAUUUAUGGGACCCCCUUGACAGUUCGCCUUGAAUAAAAACUCCUCCAGCAAGGACCAACUUUGGUUUUACUAUUUGCCGCCUAAGCCUUUUCCCCCGGGUUUUCGCGAGCCCGAGGGUCAUCUUGCUUUAACCCCCCCCCCCCGGGCCAGUGCUCCUUCGAGUGUUGGUCCGAACCGAGCAGCCUGCGGGGCCACCUCGGGGAAACUCGAGGUCUGGUUUUUACUCGUAGCUUGACUUAUCCGGUGUGCCCUGAGAUCGAGAUAUGUGCAGCUCCUAUCGGGAUUUGUCGGCACAUUCGGGCGGCUUUUGCUGGUCUUGUUUUACCAUUGUCGAGAUGUCUUGUAAACCGGGAUUCCGAGACUGAUCGGGUCUUUCCGGGAGAAGGUUUAUCCUUCGUUGACCGUGAGAGCUUAUGAUGGGCUAAGUUGGGACACCCCUGCAGGAUAUUAUCUUUCGAAAGCCGUGCCCGCGGUUAUGAGGCAGAUGGGAAUUUGUUAAUGUCCGGUUAUAGAUAACUUGUCACUUGACCCAAUUAAAAUACACCAAGUGCGUGUGUAGCCGUGAUGGUCUCUUCUCGGCGGAGUCCGGGAAGUGAACACGGUCUGUGUUAUGUAUGACGUAAGUAGGUGUUCAGGAUCACUUCUUGAUCAUUGCUAGAUGACGUCCGUUCCUUUGCUUCUCUUCUCGCUCUCAUUUGCGCAAGUUAGCCACCAUAUAUGCUUUUGCCGCUGCAGCUCCACCUCUUUGCACCUCUUUGUCCUACAAGCUUAAAUAGUCUUGAUCUCGCGGGAGUGAGAUUGCUGAGUCCCCGUGACUCACAGAUACUUCCAACACCAGUUGCAGGUGCCGAUGAUGCCAGUGCAGAUGAUGGCGUCGACCUCAAGUGGGAGUUCGACGAGGAAUGUGGUCGUUACUAUGUGUCUUUUCCUGAUGAUCAGUAGUGGAGCCCAGUUGGGACGAUCGGGGAUCUAGCAUUUGGGGUUGUCUUAUUUUCAUCUGGAUUUUGACCGUAGCCGGUCUAUAUGAUUGUAUUUUGGAUGAUGUAUGAAUGAUAUUUAUGUAUCGUGUGAAGUGGCGAUUGUAAGCCAACUCUUUAUCCCAUUCUUGUUUUUUACAUGGGAUUGUGUGAAGAUGACCCUUCUUGCGACAAAACCACUAUGCGGUUAUGCCUCUAAGUCGUGCCUCGACACGUGGGAGAUAUAGCCGCAUCGUGGGCGUUACAAUGAGUCCGCCCUCAAAUGGGCGAGGGAGGACUAUGUCCGCGAGCAGGUGCGCCGCCAGCGUCGGGCGUACCUGGAGACCCAGGCCCGUAGCCGUGCCGAGGAGCGUCGCCGCGUCGCCGAGGAGCGCGGCGUUAUCAUCGUCGACAGCGAUGACGAGGGUGAGGCCGGGCCGUCAAGCGCUUUCGGCGACCCCGGAGAGGGAUGCAGCAGGGACGCCGCAGGUGAGGCGCGCAGCGACGACGACGACUACACCCGCUUCUACAGGCUUCUCGGCAUGUAGACGGCGGCGGCGGCGACGGUGGCGGCAGCGGCUGGGCUUUUUAGUUCGUUUUUAAGUUAGUUCAUGCAUGUUUUUAAGUUUUUGUAUAAAUUUCGUCGAAAAUUGGCCGAGUUUGUGCAAAAGUCGCCGAGUUUGCAAAAAAAUAGAAACGAACUUCGCCGAACCAGCGGCGACCGUGGGCGCGUGACUGGGAGCGAAGCGAAUCCCAGGGGGCGAUCUAGCGCCGGCUAAUGACCCACAAGUAUAGGGGAUCUAUCGUAGUCCUUUCGAUAAGUAAGAGUGUCGAACCCAACGAGGAGCAGAAGGAAAUGAUAAGCGAUUUUCAGCAAGGUAUUCUCUGCAAGCACUGAAAUUAUAGGUAACAGAUAGUUUUGUGAUAAGAUAAUUUGUAACGAGCAACAAGUAACAAAAGUAAAUAAAGUACAGCAAGGUGGCCCAAUCCUUUUUCUAGCAAAGGACAAGCCUGGACAAACUCUUAUAUAGAGAAAAGUGCUCCCGAGGACACAUGGGAAUAAUCGUCAAGCUAGUUUUCAUCACGUUCAUAUGAUUCACGUGCAGUACUUUGAUAAUUUGAUAUGUGGGUGGACCGGUGCUUGGGUGCUGUCCUUACUUGGACAAGCAUCCCACUUAUGAUUAACUCCUAUUGCAAGCAUCCGCAACUACAAAAGAAGUAUUAAGGUAAACCUAACCAUAGCAUGAAACAUAUGGAUCCAAAUCAGCCCCUUACGAAGCAACGCAUAAACUAGGGUUUAAGCUUCUGUCACUCUAGCAACCCAUCAUCUACUUAUUACUUCCCAAUGCCUUCCCCUAGGCCCAAAUAAUGGUGAAGUGUUAUGUAGUCGAUGUUCACAUAACACCACUAGAGGAGAGACAACAUACUUCUCAUCAAAAUAUCGAACGAAUACCAAAUUCACAUGACUACUAAUAGCAAGACUUCUCCCAUGUCCUCAGGAACAAACGUAACUACUCACAAAGCAUAUUCAUGUUCAUAAUCAGAGGGGUAUUAAUAUGCAUAAAGGAUCUAAACAUAUGAUCUUCCACCAAAAAAACCAACUAGCAUCAACUACAAGGAGUAAUCAACACUACUAGCAACCUACAGGUACCAAUCUCAGACUUAGAGACAAGAAUUGGAUACAAGAGAUGAACUAGGGUUUGAGAGGAGAUGGUUCUGGUGAAGAUGUUGAUGGAGAUUGGCUCCCUCCCGAUGAGAGGAGCGUUGGUGAUGACGAUGGCGAUGAUUUCCCCCUCCCGGAGGGAAGUGUCCCCGGCAGAACAGCUCCGCCAGAGCCCUAGAUUGGUUCCGCCAAGGUUCCGCCUCGUGGCGGCGGAGUCUCGUCCCGAAAGCUUGCUUAUGGUUUUUCUUCGGACGAAAGACUUCAUAUAGCAGAAGAUGGGCACCGGAGGGCCACCAGGGGAACCACGAGGUAGGAGGGCGCGCCCAGGGGGGUAGGGCGCCCCCCACCCUCGUGCCCAGGGUGUGGGUCCUCUCUGGUACUUCUUCGCUCAAUAUUUUUUAUUAUUUCCAAAAAUAACUUCCGUGGAGUUUCAGGACUUUUGAAGUUGUGCAGAAUAGGUCUCUAAUAUUUGCUCCUUUUCCAGCCCAGAAUUCCAGCUGUCGGCAUUCUCCCUCUUUAUGUAAACCUUGUAAAAUAAGAGAGAAUAGGCAUAAGUAUUGUGACAUAAUGUGUAAUAACAGCCCAUAAUGCGAUAAAUAUCGAUAUAAAAGCAUGAUGCAAAAUGGACGUAUCAACUCCCCCAAGCUUAGACCUCGCUUGUCCUCAAGCGGAAGCCGAUAACGAUAAAUAUGUCCACAUGUUUAGAGGUAGAGGUGUCGAUAAAAUAAAAUACGGACAUGAGGGCAUCAUGAUCAUUCUUAAAACAACAACAUAAAUGGAUAUUGUCAUAUGAUUUCUUAUGCUCAAGUAAUAAUCUAUUCACAAUGCAAAGUAUGAAUCAGAAACUUCAUUGAGAACUAACAAACUAUAAUCUUAGUCAUUGAAGCAAUUGCAAUUUAUCAUAACAUCAGAAAGAGUCUAUGUCAGAGCUUUUCAGCAAGCCCACACACUCAACUAUCAUUUACUCUUUCACAAUUGCUAAUACUCACGCAAUACUAGUGGUUACGGAGUUUUAAUCGGACACAGAGGAAGAUAGGGGCUUAUAGUUUCGCCUCCCAACCUUUUACCUCAAGGGUAAUGUCAACAAUAAUAACUCAUGCUAACUUACAUCCAAUUAGAUAUAUAUAUAUAUAUAUAUAUAUAUCAGGAUCUUUCCAACACACUGUGCUUGCCAAAGGAUAAAAUGUAAAAAGGAAAGGUGAAGAUCACCAUGACUCUUGCAUAAGGUAGAAGAUAAAAGUAAAAGAUAGGCCCUUCGCAGAGGGAAGCAGAGGUUGCCAUGCGCUUUCAGGGUUGGAUGCACAAAAUCUUAAUGCGAAAGAACGUCACUUUAUAUUGCCACUUGUGAUAUGGACCUUUUUUAUACAGUCCGUCGCUUUUAUUUCUUCCACAUCACAAGAUCGUAUAAAGUUUAUUUCCUCCACACUAAUCAAUCAUACAUAUUUAGAGAGCAAUUUUUAUUGCUUGCACCAAUGACAACUUACUUGAAGGAUCUUACUCAAUCCAUAGGUAGGUAUGGUGGACUCUCAUGGCAAAACCGGCUUUAAGGGUAUUUGGAAGCACAAGUAGUAUCUCUACUUAGUGCAAAGAAUUUGGCUAGCAUGAGGGGGAAAGGCAAGAUCAACAUGUUGGAUGAUCCAUGACAAUAUACUUUAUUUCAGAUAUAAGAAAACAUAAACCAUUACGUUGUCUUCCUUGUCCAACAUCAACUCUUUAGCAUGUCAUAUUUUAAUGAGUGCUCACAAUCAUAAAGGAUGUCCAAGAUAGUAUAUUUAUAUAUGAAACCUCUCUUUCUUUAUUACUUCCAAUUAAUUGCAACGAUGACCAAAACUAUGUUUGUCAACUCUCAACAACUUUUAAUCAUCAUACUCUCUCUAUGUGAAGUCAUUACUCUCCAUAAGAUCAAUAUGAUCUCUUUGUUUCUUUUUAUUCUUUCUUUUAUUCACUCAAGAUCAUAGAAAAAUAAUCAGCCCUUGACUCAACACUAAUCUUUAUUAUAUAUAACUCACGGACUCGAUUACAUAGAGGGAUCAUAAAGCAAAACUCAAAACUAGAUCAUACCAAAAACUUUAUUCUACUAGAUCAAGAUAUUACUAAAAGGAUCGAACUAAGAAAAACGGUAAAGAUAGGAGUGUGAUGGUGAUACGAUACCGGGGCACCUCCCCCAAGCUUGGCAGUUGCCAAGGGGAGUGCCCAUACCCUUGUGAUUAUAUCUCCUUUGCUGGUGAAGGGGUUGUUGGUGAUGAUGGGUAGUCGCACAUCGAGUGUAAGAGAUCCUCCAACUUGCGGAUAAUGCCCUUGAGCGCAACGAUAUGCUCCUUCAACAAAAUAUUUUCACAUGUGAGAUACUUGUUUUGUAUACGAGCUAACUCAAUCAUCUUGAAAGCUUCGAUCUCAGUUGGGGAAAGAUGAUUGUGAUCAAGUUGAAGGAUGUCUUCUACUACCGGAGCUUGGUCCUCCGUGGCCUUCUUGGUCCCUUCAUCCUUGUUGAUAUCCAUGGGUUCUUCCCUCUUCAGCUCUGUCUUCAUUAGCCAAGCAUCGUUGUCACCAUUGUUGGAGGAGGGGGACGACAUGAUGCCUGGCCUUGACAACCCUGACAGAAAACAGCUCGAAACAAGAACAGAGGAUAAUUGUGUGAUACAGGAGUCAAAACCUUCGGGAGAUUAUAUAAUGAAUUUUUACCGACCGAAAGAAGUAUCGUGCAAGAAAACGGAGUCCGGAGAGCGCACGAGGUGCCCACGAGGCAGGGGGCGCGCCCAGGGGGUAGGGCGCGCCCUCCACCCUCGUGGAACCCUCGUGUCCUUCCCGGACUGCUUCUUAUUUUUCUAUUUUUCUAAAUAUUCCAAAAUGACGAAAAAUUGCCAUUAGAACUGUUUUGGAGUCGGUUUACUUACCGUACCACAUACCUAUUCCUUUUCGGAGUCUGAAACGUUCUGGAAAGUGUCUCUUAUGUAUUCCUCCGGUAUCACGGUUUCAAUAACAUUAGUUUCAACAUUUAUAGGAUUACCUGAGAUAUAGUGUUUGAUUCUUUGACCGUUCACCACCUUCGGAUUUGUGCCUUCGAAGUUGUUGUUUUUUAUGGCACCGGAGCGAUAGACCUCCUCGAUAACGUAAGGACCUUCCCAUUUGGAGAGAAGUUAUCCUGCAAAAAAUCUUAAACGAGAGUUGUAUAGCAAUACAUAAUCACCUACAUUAAACUCACGCUUUUGUAUCCUUUUGUCAUGCCAUCUUUUAACUUUCUCUUUAAACAGCUUGGCAUUCUCAUAGGCUUGGGUUCUCCAUUCAUCAAGUGAGCUUAUGUUAAAUAGCCUCUUCUCACCGGCAAGUUUGAAAUCAUAGUUGAGCUCUUUAAUAUCCCAAUAUGCCUUAUGUUCUAGUUCGAGAGGUAAGUGACAUGCUUUUCUAUAGACCAUUUUAUACGGAGACAUACCCAUAGGAUUUUAUAUGCAGUUCUAUAGGCCCAUAAUGCAUCAUCAAGUUUCUUGGACCAAUUCUUUCUAGAUCUAUUAACAGUCUUUUGCAAAAUUAAUUUGAGUUCUCUAUUACUCAAUUCUACUUGACCACUAGACUGUGGGUGAUAAAGAGAUGCAAUUCUAUGAUUAACAUCAUACUUAGCAAGCAUUUUACGAAAAGCACCAUGAAUAAAAUGUGAACCACCAUCGGUCAUUAAAUAUCUAGGGACUCCAAACCUCGGAAAAAUAACUUCUUUAAGCAUCUUAAUAGAAGUGUUAUGAUCAGCACUACUAGUUGGAAUAGCUUCUACCCACUUAGUAACGUAAUCGACAGCAACUAAAAUAUGUGUAUAUCCAUUAGAGGCAGGAAACGGUUGUAACGCCCCGAGACCGACGCUUCAGAAGACUUCCUUAUUUUCGUGAUCGCCGUGUGUUUCUUUUGUGCUUGCUCUUUUAUUUUUUGCAUUGCAUCAUGUCAUCAUGCCAUCAUGUUAUUAAUCUUUGCAUCAAAACUCAACUAAGUAAAUUGCAUGGAUCUCGAUCCAUUUAAAUCGAGGGAAUUCACAUGGUGAUUUCUCUUUAUAACUUAUCCUCCUAAUAUUUAUGGAGCUAUUAUAAAUAUUCCAUUAGUUUGGAAUUAACCGGAACACACUUGCAAAAUAAUUCCCAUGCCUAUUUCCACUUCAAGUUUCACCUCCAAGCUUCGCCAACAAUUCUUUUCCCUCUUAUUGAGGCCCUUCCUAAAUGUUCAACAUUUUGGACACUUUGUAAUCCUACUCCUUCUUCUCAUCUUCUUUUCUGUUUCAUCUUGCCCUUUCCAUCUAAAACAUCAUCUAGUGCAACACCCCAUCACAAGCGUCUUCCUUUCAAUUCUCACCCAUUUAUUGCAAGUGGUAUUUUUCUGUCCCAGUAAAAUGUUCGCUUACUUUCUGUAAAUCUUAAACCAUGCCAACUACCUCUUUGCCAAAUUUCAUCUCUUUUAAAGUUGUUUUGGUUGGGCUAAGAAUUUACUCAAGUUUGAAUCAAAUUCAAACUUGUUUAAAUUUUCUGUCUCUAAAAGUUGCCAAACCAAUUUUAUUAAAUCUUGCAUGUUCCCAGGAGCAUGAGGAUAUUCUUACAUCUUCCAAUUUCUUUCCCUAGUUCCCCUUCUUUUCUUUUUCUGAAAUCUGUUUAUUAUAAAAACAGAGAGAAGGGAACUACCUUUUCCUUAUCUGGGCGCUGCACUUGGGCUUCCUGUAGCCGCAACUCUAAGGCCCAGCCCACGCCCCUUAACCCUAGCCGCCAGAGACCGAGCCCAUCUCUCCCUUCGUUUUCCUCCAGCGCCGCCAGCCUCCCCUGUCUCAUCCUCCCGAUCCCCUCACCCUCUUCCUCUCGUCCUCUCCCUUGCACCGCCACCCAGAGAGAGGAGAGGAGCGAGACCCCCUGUCGCCGAGCGCCCGAGGAGAGGAGUUCCUCGAGCACCGGCCGCCCGCAGCAACCUCCUCCCUCUCGCCCCCUCGCAGCCUCGCGCCGACGCCCCCUCGCCAUCACCACAGCGCCUCGUCUCGCCUCCUCCCUGUGGCAUCGCGCACCCGGCGUCCAUGGCCUCUCCAGCCUCCAGAAGUUCUGCUUCCCUUGCUCCUUCGAGCGCGAGCCCCGCAGUGCUCUGUCUCGCGCCGCGUCCUCCCUCUGCCUCCUUGCCAUGGCCGCCGCGUCUCCCUCUGCAGGACCAGGCCGCACCGCACGUCCUCAUCGUCAAGCCCCCGUCGCCCGAGCGCUCGAGGAGAGGAGCUCCUCGAGCACCUGCGCCCGCAUCCGCUCGUUCCCUCCGUUUUGGUCGGAGUUCGCCGGAGCCCGAGCACCGGACGCCUUGCACCCGCGAGCACCACCACCUCCAGCGCGCCGCCGUACCUCCGCCGCCCGGCGACCUUCUGCAUCCACCUACAACAGCUCUCCCUGCGACCUCCUCUUCAUCACCGCCUUGUGCUGUCCCUGCCGACUCCGACCAGGGAGCCCCGCCGCUCGCCUGAGUGUGGCAGCCGGCUCCUGGUCGUGCUGCAUCGUCUCGUUCGCAGGCACUUCCUUGCCACAAGUGCUCCUGACUGAGACCCUCAAGUCAUCUACCCGGAGCCCAAGUCCGAAGACUACCGUGGACGUGUGCCUCGUGUCACCUGGAUCGUCAAGUACCGUCUCCGGGAUUCACCAAGUACCACGACGUCGGUGUCCCUCCAAGUGUGAUGUUGGAACAUGCACAGCUGCCGUCGCCGAAGACUCGGGUAGCGAAAAUGCCAAGUUCCUCUCCGCCGUGAACCACUACUUCCACAACAUGUCGUGUACGACUACCGUCACUCGGAUUCGACAAGACAACGUGUACCACGACACUGGCGACAUGAACAUCUACGAAAUGUGUAUGACUACACGAUGUGAUGCCAAGUACCACGACAACCGUGCACCACUACUGUCGCGAGAACGACUACUUCCAUGAUGACCCCGUGAACAACUACUUCCACUUCGAAUGCGUUCCGCCCCGAAUGCACGCUUCGAAGGUAUAACCCCAAGACGACGUCCGUGGACCGAAUGCAUGUGUGUUGUAUGAGAUGCUCGUGUUUGCACCGUUUCCGAGAGAGGUCUUUGCACGUUCCUCGAUUGCCAUGCCGCCGUACCGUGGGAACCCGGUAACCGGGAGCACCCCACCAUUCUCUUGCGUGUUUCACACAUCCGCACAAUUCUCUUUUGCGCCGGUAUCUCCAUGAACUACCGGAACCGAUAUGUUGCCGUGGCAUCAUUUUCGUUAUCGUUGCCGUGGCACCCUUUCUCGUUCCACCACGGUAACAAAUGCUUCAUAACAUGCUCUUGUCCACGUUUUAUAAAAUUGCUUAAAAACUUGCAUAUGUCAUUCGCAUCAUGACAAUAACAUUUAAAUGUCUAAAAUUGAUGUUUGCAUUAAAAUUGUCAAAUGACAUGAGGAUUUAUCGGAAUUGUCGUUUGUUAUUUCCGGCCUCAUUUAAACGUGCCUAGAUAGGUUGUUUAAUUAUGCUUCACCCCUUGCCAUGGUUAACAACAUUUAAUAUUGUUGGUUACUUAAACAAGAGCGAACUAAAUAAUUAAAUGUGGUGUUUCGUCAAUAUGCAACUCGUUGCAUAUUGAGCUCCACUUAAUUUGUAGUGUUGUUUGUUGCACUUUGCCAUGCCAUGCUCAUUAAACCGGACAUGCAUCAUACUUGAUUGUGCAUCAUGCCAUGUGUAUGUGGUGGUUGUUUACUAUGUUGCUUGUUUCUUUCCGGGUUGCUUCUCUCGUUAGCUUUGGUUUCAUUCCGGAGUUGUGAGGAUUCGUUCGACUACGUCCGAUUGUCGUCUUCAUGGACUCGUUCUUCUUCCUAGCGGGAUCUCAGGCAAGAUGACCACCCCUCAAAAUCACUUCUAUCUUUGCUUUGCUAGUUGAAUCAUAUAUUGUGGAAUAGUGAGGGAGGAGAUACUCUUCAACAAAUCUUCUCUUCGUUCUAUUGCCAUGCUGCGCUACCUACCACUUGCUAUAUCAUGCCUCCCUUAUUGCCAUGUCAGCCCCUAACCUUUUCACCCUUCCUAGCAAACCGUUGCUUGGCUAUGUUACCGCUUUGCUCAGCCCCUUCUUAUAGCGUUGCUAGUUGCAGGAGAAGAUGAAGAUUGCUCCAUGUUGGAUUAUGUUUAUGUUGGGAUAUCACAAUAUCUCUUAUCUUAAUUAAUGCAUCUAUAUACUUGGUAAAGGGUGGAAGGCUUGGCCUUAUGCCUGGUGUUUUGUUCCACUCUUGCCGCCCUAGUUUCCGUCAUACCGGUGUUAUGUUCCUUGAUUUUGCGUUCCUUACGCGGUUGGGUGAUUUAUGGGACCCCCUUGACAGUUCGCUUUGAAUAAAACUCCUCCGGCAAGGCCCAACCUUGGUUUUACCAUUUGCCUACCUAAGCCUUUUUCCCUUGGGUUCUGCAGACUCAAGGGUCAUCUUUAUUUUAAACCCCCGGGCCAGUGUUCCUCUGAGUGCUGGUCCAAACUAGAGCCCUUUGCAGCGCCACCUCGGGGAAACUUGAGGUCUGGUUUUAGUUGUACGGACUGCUCAUCCGGUGUGCCCUGAGAACGAGAUAUGUGCAGCUCCUAUCGGGAUUUUUCGGCACAUUCGGGUGGUCUUGCUGGUCUUGUUUUACCAUUGUCGAAAUGUCUUGUAAAUCGGGAUUCCGAGACUGAUCGGGUCUUCCCGGGAGAAGGUUUAUCUUUCGUUGACCGUGAGAGCUUAUAAUGGGCUAAGUUGGGACACCCCUGCAGGGUAUUAAACUUUCGAGAGCCGUGCCCGCGGUUAUGUGGCAGAUGGGAAUUUGUUAAUAUCCAGUUGUAGAGAACUUGACACUUGACCUUAAUUAAAACGCAUCAACCGCGUGUGUAGCCGUGAUGGUCUCUUCUCGGCGGAGUCCGGGAAGUGAACACGGUUUCGUAAGUAGGAGUUCAGGAUCACUUCUUGAUCAUUGCUAGAUCAUGACCGUUCCGUUGCUUCUCUUCUCGCUCUCAUUUGCGUAUGUUAGCCACCAUAUAAGCUUAGCCGCUGCUGCAACCUUACCACCUUCCCCUUUCCUACCCUUAAGCUUAAAUAGUCUUGAUCUCGCGGGUGUGAGAUUGCUGAGUCCUCGUGACUCACAGAUACUUCCAAACAGUUGCAGGUGCCGAUGAUACCAGUGCAGGUGACACAACUGAGCUCAAGUGGGAGCUCGAUGAAGAUCUUGUUCGUUGUGUUGUUUCUUUUCAUGUUGAUCAGUAGUGGUGCCCAGUUGGGACGAUCAGGGAUCUAGCAGUUGGGUUGUCUUCUUUUAUUUUGGUUCCGUAGUCGGACCUAUGUGUGUAUCUUGAAUGAUGUAUGAUUUUAUUAUGUAUUGUGUGAAGUGGCGAUUGUAAGCCAACUCUUUAUUCCAUUCUUGUUCAUUACAUGGGAUUGUGUGAAGAUGACCCUUCUUGCGACAAAAACCACAAUGCGGUUAUGCCUCUAAGUCGUGCCUCGACACGUGGGAGAUAUAGCCGCAUCGUGGGCGUUACAACGGUCCCAUAUAAUCAAAGCCCCAAACAUCAAAUGGUUCAAUAACAAGUGAAUAAUUCAUAGGCAUUUCUUGACGUCUACUAAUGUUACCAAUUCUUUGACAUUCAUCACAAGAUAAGACAAACUUACGGGCAUCCUUGAAGAGAGCAGGCCAAUAAAAACCGGAUUGCAAUACCUUAUGUGCAGUUCUAUCUCCAGCGUGGUGCCCUCCAUAAGCUUCGGAGUGACACUUGCGUGGGAUCUGUUCCUGUUCAUGCUCAGGCACACAAUGCCUAAUAACACCAUCUACUCCUUUAUAAAGACGUGGGUCAUCCCAGAAGUAAUAUCUCAAAUCAUAGAAAAACUUUUUCUUUUGCUGGUAUGUGAAACUAGGUGGUAUAAAUUUAGCGACAAUGUAAUUAGCAUUAUUAGCAUACCAUGGAGCAGUACGAGAAGCAUUUAUGACAUUUAAUUGUUCAUCAGGAAAGCUAUCAUCAAUAGAUAGUGGGUCAUCAAGAACACUCUCUAACCUAGACAAGUUGUCUGCAACGGGGUUCUCAGCUCCCUUUCUAUCAAUAAUAUGCAAAUCAAAUUCUUGUAGUAGGAGAACCCAUCUAAUAAGUCUAGUUUUAGCAUCUUUCUUUUCCAUAAGAUAUUUAAUAGAAGCAUGAUCAGUGUGGAUAGUUACUUUAGAAUCAACAAUAUAAGGUCUGAACUUAUCACAAGCAAAUACAACUGCUAAAAAUUAUUUUUCAGUGGUAGCAUAAUUUCUCUGAGCACUGUCUAGAGUUUUACUAGCAUAUUGAAUGACAUUUAAUUUCUUAUCAACUCUUUGCCCCAGAACAGCACCUACAGCAUAAUCGCUAGCAUCACUUAUAAUUUCAAAGGGUAAAUUCUAGUCAGGUCGCUGAACAAUAGGUGCAGAAAUCAAUGCUUUCUUAAGUAUUUCAAAUGCUUCUACACAAUCAUCAUAAAAAAUGAAAGGUAUAUCUUUUUGUAAGAGAUUGGUCAGAGGCCGAGAAAUUUUUGAGAAGUCCUUAAUGAACCUCCUAUAAAAGCCAGCAUGACCAAGGAAACUUCUUAUACCUUUGAUGUCCUUGGGACAUGGCAUCUUUUCAAUAACAUCAACUUUAGCUUUAUCAACUUCAAUGCCUCUUUCAGAAAUUUUAUGCCCCAAGACAAUGCCUUCAUUAACCAUAAAGUGGCACUUCUCCCAAUUCAAGACAAGAUUAGUUUCUUCACAUCUUUGCAAAACUCGAUCAAGGUUGCUCAAGAAAUCAUCAAAAGAGGAUCCAUAAACGGAGAAAUCGUCCAUGAAAACCUCACAAAUCUUUUCACAAAAGUCAGAGAAUAUAGCCAUCAUGCAUCUUUGAAAGGUAGCAGGUGCGUUACAUAAACCAAAAGGCAUACGUCUAUAAGCAAAAGUACCGAAAGGGCAAGUAAAAGUGGUCUUAGCUUGAUCAUCAGCUGACACAGGUAUUUGAGAGAAACCAGAGUAACCAUCUAGAAAGCAAAAAUGUGUAUGUUUGGAUAAUCUUUCAGUAUUUGAUCAAUGAAUGGCAAGGGGUAUUGAUCCUUUUUAGUAGCUUUAUUUAAUUCGCGGAAAUCAAUUACCAUCCUAUAACCUGUAAUAAUUCUUUGCAGAAUCAAUUCAUCUUUAUCAUUAGGAACGACAGUAAUACCUCCCUUCUUAGGGACACAAUGGACAGGACUUACCCACUGACUAUCAGCAACGGGAUAGAUUAUACCUGCCUCAAGGAGCUUUAGUAUUUCCUUCCUUACCACUUCUUUCAUUUUAGGAUUCAGCCGUCGUUGAUGAUCAAUAACCGGUUUGGCAUCUUUCUCCAAAUUUAUUUUGUGUUGACAUAGAGUGGGACUAAUGCCCUUAAGAUCAUCAAGAGUAUAUCAAAUAGCAGCACGGUGCUUCUUCAGAGUUUUCAAUAAUUUUUCUUUCUCCUUCUCUGAAAGGUUAGCACUAAUAAUAACAGGAUAUAUCUUCUUUUCAUCAAGAUAAGCAUAUUUAAGAGUAUCAGGCAAUGGUUUAAGCUCAAACACGGGAUCACCCUUGGGUGGAGGAGGAUCCCCUAGGAUUUCAACAAGCAAGUUGUGUUUCAGAAUAGGUCCCUGUUUAAAGAACACUUCAUCUAUUUCCCUUCUUUCAUUCAUAAACAUAUCAUUUUCAUGGUCUAGCAAAUAUUGUUCUAAAGGAUCACUAGGAGGUACGACAAUAGAAGCAAGACCAAUAAUUUCAUCUUUACUAGGCAAUUCCUCUUCACGGUGUUUUCUACAAAAUUUAGAGAAAUUAAACUCAUGAGACAUAUCACCCAAACCAAUAGUAACAACGUCCUUUUCGCAGUCUAUCUUAGCAUUAACAGUGUUCAAGAAGGGUCUACCAAAUAUAAUGGGACAAAAGCUAUCUUGUGGGGAACCAAGAACAAGAAAAUCAGCAGGAUAUUUAGUUUUCCCACACAAGACUUCAACAUCUCUAACAAUCCCGAUUGGUGAUAUAGUAUCUCUAUUGGCAAGCUUAAUUGUGACAUCAAUUUCUUCCAACUCAGUAGGUGCAAUAUCAUGCAUAAUUUCUUUGUAUAAGUCAAUAGGUAUUGCACUAGCACUAGCACUCAUAUCACACAAGCCAUGAUAACAAUGAUCUCCUAUUUUAACAGAAAUAACAGGCAUGCCUACCACAGGUCUAUGUUUAUCUUUAGCACUAGGUUUAGCAAUUCUAGCAGUCUCAUCACAGAAAUAAAUGACAUGCCCAUCAAUAUUAUCAGCCAAGAGAUCUUUAACAAUAGCAAUAUUAGGUUCAACUUUAACUUGCUCAGGGGUGUAUAAGUUCUAAUAUUACUUUUACGAACCACAGUUGAAGCUUUAGCAUGAUCCUUUAUCCUAACAGGGAAAGGUGGUUUCUCAACAUAAGCAGUAGGAACAAUAGGAUCAUUAUAAGUGAUAGUAUUUUCUUCAGCUUUAAUAGGUUCAACUACUUUUACUUCUAUGGGAGGAUGAUAUUUAAACCACUUCUUCUUAGGGAGAUCAACAUGAGUAGCAAAUGAUUCACAGAAAGAAGCUACUAUCUCAGAGUCAAGUCCAUAUUUAGUGCUAAAUUUUCGGAAAACAUCGGUAUCCAUAAAAGAUUUAUCACAAUCAAACUCAGGUGUUAUACCUGACUCCUUACCUUCGUCGAGAUCCCAAUCUUCAGAGUUGCGUUUAAUUCUUUCCAAUAAAUCCCAUUUGAAUUCAAUAGUCUUCAUCAUAAAAGAGCUAGUACAAGAAGUAUCGAGCAUGGUGCGAUUGUUGUCAGAAAGCCGAGCAUAAAUUUUUUGAAUAAUCAUUUCUAUUGAGAGCUCAUGAUUGGGGCAUGAAUAUAACAUUGACUUAAUCCUCCCCCAAGCUUGAGCGAUGCUUUCUCCUUCGCGAGGCCAAAAAUUAUAUAUGUAAUUACGAUAACGAUGAACAAGAUGCAUAGGAUAAAACUUCUGAUGAAAUUCCAAUUUCAAUCAUCUGUAGUUCCAUGAUCCCAUAUCAUCACAUAGCCUAUACCAUGUCAAUGCAUCUCCCUUAAAAGAUAAAGGGAAGACCUUCUUCUUGAUAACAUCAUCGGGCAUACCUGCAAGCUUAAAUAAUCCACAAACUUCAUCCACAUAGUUUAGGUGCUCAUCAGGAUGUAAUGUUCCGUCUCCUGCAAAAGGAUUAGCUAGCAGUUUUUCUAUCAUACCCGAAGGAAUUUCAAAUUAGACAUUUUCAUUUUCAAUAGGUUCAGUAGGUUGAGGAGCAACUCUUUGCUCUACUGGUCGAGGUGAAGAUACCCCGAACAGGCCCCUCAGAGGAUUACUUUCCAUAGUAACAAGUGACAGUAAAUUUCAGCACACUAUAUAAAAAUUUACUUACCAAAUUCCACCUACCAAAGGCGCUUCACUCCCCGGCAAUGGCGCCAGAAAAGAGUCUUGAUGACCCACAAGCAACGGCGCCAGAAAAUUCCACCUUUCGAUAAGUAAGAGUGUCGAACCCAACGAGGAGCAGAAGGAAAUGAUAAGCGGUUUUCAGCAAGGUAUUCUCUGCAAGCACUGAAAUUAUAGGUAACAUAUAGUUUUGUGAUAAGAUAAUUUGUAACGAGCAACAAGUAACAAAAGUAAAUAAAGUGCAGCAAGGUGGCCCAAUCCUUUUUGUAGCAAAGGAAAAGCCUGGACAAACUCUUAUAUAGAGAAAAGCGCAAUUAAAAUAGUUAAAACUUGAACUCAACUAGCACAAAUGUUCUGGUCCCCUUUAGCCGCCCAUAAAUGCUCAACCAAAUCUUCCCUAAGUUGCUCAUGAUUUGCUCGAUGCCAAAUUUAUUGAUGGAUUUGAACAAACUCAUCAUACGUGGCCAGAUUUUGAUAUCGAAAUUGGAUAGGAUAAUCCAUGUUCUCAAAUUCAAGAGUUGCGGCAGCGUCUUCACACUCAUCCUCCAUAAUCAUGUUGUCCAUGGUCGCACAACAUGUCAUCAUUGACGAUGACAUGUACCUAGGGUAGGGUCAUAGGCCUGACCUAGACACCCUACCCAAGGACACUGCCCUAUAGUCAAACACAUUCAAAGCAUAAGAAGAGAAACCGACUGAGUUCAUCAAGGAGUGCAAUCCACUCGACCUUCAACCACACUUGGAUACCCCAAUUCCAUUCGACCAAGAUGAAGUCACUCGAUGAUACAAGAAACCACUCGGAGUAUAGACGGCCUAACGUCAUUCAGGAUGGCAACGGUCGGACAUUCACUCUGUAGUCUUAAAGAUCAUUUAUACCUCUUUAUUAUUGGCGUUACCAGUAACGCCCUACCUUAAUGUACAUUGAACCCUUUGUAACGUGGGUUGGCUGGGGUCCUGGCGCACUCUAUAUAAGCCACCCCUCCACUAGGACAAGGGUUCGCACCCCUUGUAACACACACACACAUAUAUUCCAGUCGACCGCCUCAGGGCACCGAGACGUAGGGCUUUUACCUCCUCUGAGAGGGGCCUGAACUUGUAAACUUGUGUGUACAACCUCGCCGUAGAUAGGACCUUGCCUCCUCAUUCGUACCCCCUACUCUUACUGUCAGACUUAGUACCACGACAGUUGGUGCCCACCAUGGGGCAGGUGUCUUAGCGACUUCCGGUGAGGUUGCAAUUUUUCCAAUCUCCAUCAUCAUGGUUUCUGGCGGCGGUUUGGCUAAGGGCCGCGAGAUCCGUCUCGGUGCGCUCGUCUUCAUCACCGACGACUCUGCCUGGCUCCAGGAGGUCCCCCCUCGACGUCGAGACGCUCCCCGUCCGCGGGGCGAUGCACUUUCGCGCAUGUGUCCGCGGCGUCCUUCUGCGGCAGCCGUUGACCCAGUAUCGGUCGGCUCCCGCAGCAUCUUCGCUCCCCGUCGCUCGCCGUCGCAAGCGAUCUGGUCAAUCGGGGCUUCAGCGAUGGGUAAAACAUGCGGUGGCCCGUUAGUCCGCUACCCCUCAAGUCGCGGCAAUCGAGCCCGACGAAUCUCUCUAUGGACUAUUCGACCUGUCGACUGGUUCCGCCGAGAUUCUGUCUGAGUGCGACAGCAGUGAUCCUGCGGCAGAAGUCCUGAUGGUCGACAUGCCGCGCAGCCCUCCUUGCCAUCGCAGUGGCGACGACGAUGGCGAUGGCGGCUCCUCGCAUGGUCACGAGGAAUAUCGUCCCGAAGCCCUCACUUCGCAGCAGAGGGAUGAGCUGCACCGACACAACGUGGAGGCGCUCCACACUCCCAUCAUCGGUGAGACCUCCGAGGCUCGGGCCUUGUAUACCGCGCGCCUGGCCACAUUGGCUAAGCGCGCGCGCCUGGAAAACCUUCAACAUUCACUCCACGAGCGCGCUCGACGACAGAUCCCUGAAUCUAGUCGACGACAUUGAUAGUUGUUUCCGCCUGAACCUCAGGUAUACCGCACUCCGAUCCAGAAUCUUACGGCUGUAGCUCGUAUAGCAGAGUCGAUUCAGCCAUCCCAAUCAGAGGCUGGAAGAGGUUUGAUGCAGAUCCGAGCACUGCUCCGAGCAGUAGGUGAACAGAACACAACCAUUUCUCAAUCGCGCAACCGGAUCCACAGCAGGUCUGUAGUGGCGGACAUAGUCUAGUCGACUCACAGCCCAAGAUCGCCUCCGCGGUGUGAAGGCCAUGGGCACCGUCAAGAACAGUACCUGGGUCAGAACCACGAGCAAUAUGACCAUUGACUCGGCCGUGAUGACCGCCGUCGAGUGCCUACGCCCCCUUCGAGAGGCGGAUCAUAUGCGCCCCGACAGUACGAUGACAGGUGCCUGUAUGGUGAAGAACGAAGGGUCCCGGUCGACCCGAGAUAGCCGGGAUUUGAUGCAAGAUCAAUUCUUGUGCAAGGCCUGGUCGACAGAAACCGGGCACACAGAGAAGGACUUGACAGAGAUCGCCUGGUCAGUAGCAGAGUAUGUUUCUGGGCCUGAAUGUUUCAGCAGAGCCAUCAGGGCUGCUGAGAUUCCUCCCAACUUCAGGUUGGCGAUGGGAGUAAGUAAGUUCACCGGUGAGUCGAAGCCAGACACUUGGCUAGAAGAUUACCGAGUGGCUGUGCAGAUUGGUGGCGGAAAUGAUGAUGUAGCCAUGAAGCAUCUCCCCCUGAUGUUGGAUGGUUCGGCCAGAGCGUGGUUGAAUCAGUUGGCUCCUGGAAGUAUCUUCAGUUGGGAAGAGUUGGCCCGAGUGUUUGUCAGGACAUUUGAGGGCACCUGCAAACGGCCAGCACGGCUGACUGAAUUACAGCAUUGUGUGCAGAAACUGAAUGAAACUUUGAGGGAUUACAUCCAGAGAUGGACCACUCUUCAUCAUACAGUAGAAAAUGUGUCACAACACCAACCAGUUUGCGCCUUCAAGGAGGGCGUUCAGUACAGAGAGCUUAACCUGAAAUCUGGUCGGACAGGAGAUAUGACCCUGGCCCGAAUGAUGGAAAUAGCCACUCGGUAUGCUAACGGUGAAGAGGAGGACCGACUCCGCAGUGGCAAGAACAAACCAGUCGCCCAGGACGCCGGAGGAGGGAAUUCCAGUCGGAAGCAGAAGUGCAAAGCCGAACCCGCAGGUCCUGGUGAGGCCGCAGUUGUGACUCAAGGAAAUUUCAAAGGAAAGCCUAAGGGGCCAUGGAUCCCCAAGAAGGUGAAAGAUCAAGCAGGAAAUGAUGUGCUAGAUUUGUCGUUUCAUAUACACACCAAGAAGGAUGAAGAGGGUAACCUGAUUUAUCCCAAGCAUACCACUCGACAGUGUCGACUCCUAAUUCAGAGGUUCUGAGAGGGCCAGCCCAGCGAGAAAGAAAAGUAAUUUGAUAAGGAUGAGGACAAAGAGGAAGAUGAUGGUUACCACAAUGUCAAUGCUGUUGGGGAACACAGUAAUUUCAAAAAAAAAUCCUACGCACACGCAAGAUCCAUCUAGGUGAUGCAUAGCAACGAGAGGGGAGAGUGUUGUCCACGUACCCUCGUAGACCGAAAGCGGAAGCGUUAUGACAACGCGGUUGAUGUAGUCAUACGUCUUCACGAUCUGACCGAUCCUAGUACCGAAAGUACGGCUCCUCCGUGAUCUGCACACGUUCAGCUCGGUGACAUCCCACGAACUCUAGAUCCAGCUGAGUGUCGAGGAAGAGCUUCGUCAGCACGACGGCGUGAUGACAGUGUUGAUGAAGUUAUCGACGCAGGGCUUCGCCUAAGCACUACAACGAUAUGACCGAGGUGGAAAUCUGUGGAGGGGGCACCACACACGGCUAAACAAUCAGCUUGUGUCUAUGGGGUGCCCCCCUCCCCCGUAUAUAAAGGAGUGGAGGAGGGGAGGGCCGGCCCUCUCUAUGGCGCGCCCUAGGGGGAGUCCUACUCCCACCGGGAGUAGGAUUCUCCCCUUUCCCUAGUUGGAGUAGGAGAGGAAGGAAGGAGGAGAGAGGGACAAGGAAAGGGGGGGCCGGCCCCCCUCCCAAUUCGGAUUGGGCUUGGGGGGCCCACCUUGGCCGCCUCCUCCUCUCUCCCACUAAGGCCCAUUAAGGCCCAUGUACUCCCCGGGGGUUCCGGUAACCCCACCGGUACUCCGGUAAAUGCCCAAUGUCGGUGUACAAACGAAGGGGCACACCUUUGUAGCCCUUUACCUGUGCACGGGCAGUCGGAGCCGCGCCUACGGCCACACCAAGCAGAGCAGGGGAGGUGAACCAAGGUAAAACCGAAGCCCGAGGCAGCUAGAGCAACGCCAAGACCAAGGACGCAAAGAAGCAGAGGGGCGGAGCAGUUUCCCUCUGCAAGACCCUUGCCGGGGAUGGCCUCGGCAGCCCCGGCAAGGCCCUUGCCGGGGCAGCACGCCCAAACACCAACAGAGCGAGCCACCCUUGAGCCCACACCAUCAAUCACGUUGGGCCAGGGCUCGGGAGGCACCUCUGUGGUGGCAUGCAGAUCUUUGUGAAGACAAGGAGCACUCAAGAUCAGAUGAGGAUUAGAAGACGAUGACCCUCGGCAAGAUCCUUGCCGAGGAAGGCCACUAGAUCCCCGACAAGGUCCUUGCCGGGGACGACGGCGCACCACGACAAGACCCUUGCCGGGCCACCCGUCAAGGCCCUCACCAAGGACGCCAGCAGGGCCACUGCCAGGCCCGCACCAACCAAGUUUCCACCGCCGUUCGCAUCCAGCUGCCAGCUCAACCAGCUGAGUAGGCACCUAUGUGGCAACAUGCAGCUCCCGGGCCAACUCCAAGCGCCUGCGUGGCGGCAUGCAGAUCUUCGUAGAGGCUCCACCACCGCGCCACCUCAGCUGCCUGCUUACCUACAUGGCGCCGCAUGCAUCACUGGCCGGGGCGCGUGUCGAAGCGAGGAGGAGCGGCGGCGGACGGGACGGGCCUCGCCCCCGUCCCCGAUAAAGCUAGGGGACACAUCAGUAGCACAUUAAAUGCAUCUUGUCCUGUAAUACGAGUGAUAAGCUCGCAAUACUGUACGCCUUUCCACCUCAUGUAUGCCACUAUAGCAGCCCCUUUCGACUAUAAAAGUAGGCCCAUGGCAUACUGGAGAAGGAUUCGGCUCUUUGGGACCGCGCACCCCACCAUAGCUAGUUCGAGAGCUCAAGAACUCUCUAAAAUACACCCACCAAAGCAGGACUAGGGUUUUACGCAUCCUCGCGGCCCGAACCUGGGUAAAAGAUCCUUGUGCUGAUUACUAAUCCUGCUCUUCUCGGAACCCUGCGCCCCGGCAACAGUAGUAGGGAUUCUUGUGAUCCCAUAGGUGUCGUUCCACACCGACAUCUUUGGCGCGCCAGGUAGGGGGCGCAAUUGUGAGAAUCUGGUCUAGUAGUUAGCCUAGCAGUUCUUCAUCGCCAUGGCUCCCAAGAAGAAGAUGGCCGCGGCGGUCGGCUCGUUGGGAGCCGAACGGCUCGUGCCAGCGCGGGCGAGCAGUGGGCCGGUCACGGACAGGACCCGGGCCGCGGACCGCGAGCAGCAGCAUCGCCCUGGCUGUCAGAGCCGCGCGAGCGGCGUCGUUCGCGCGCCAGACGACCGACCGCACGUCGCCAGAUCCAAAGACGGAGCUGGCCCCCCCGGGAGGCGCAGCGACCUCCAAGACGUCCACGCUGGCGACCACUGCGCGCUCUUCCCAUGGUGUGCGCGAUGAGCUGCGUCACCACGCCGGUGACCGUGGGCACCGCCGAGGGAAGAGCCUCAUGCGUCGUCCGCGGGAUGAAGGAGUUCAGCCUGCCCGCCGAAAUGCUGUCGAAAAUGGCGCGCAGCCGCUGGGUCGUGACGGCGCUCCUUCUAACAUGGUUAGAAGUCGAAGUGCGCCGCGAUGCACGCAGCUGUCGUCGCCGCCCACGCCAGCAGAAGCUUUGGCGCGUGCGCAGCUACUCCUCGACUUCCCUCCCGCUGCAGAGAAGCUCGACGAGUGGAGGGCCACCAUCCGGAGCCUCGUUGCCGUCGCCAACAAAGACGAUCCACGACCGGCGGGGCUCUUGGGUCGGCGCUCCACCGAGCCACCACAUGCUGGCGUUGGGAGGACCGGGGGAGCUGCGGCCACGGUGCACUCUCCUCCUCCUCGCCAGCCGCCGCGGGCGUCUGCCCGUCGAGACGGCGCUUGCGAUAACAUCUCUAUAGCGUCGUCCGACCCGCGGACCCGCCGCGACCAACGCCAAGUUCUUCGAGAACGACCUCACAAAGAUGCUCGGACCACUAUUGACCACCGGCGUGAUACACGCCACCAGUCAGACAAGCGGGCGGGACCCGCUAUGGACCACUCAGCACCGGGGGGCUCCGGCGGCCUGCCUUACGAGGUGGGCUGCCCGGCCUUUACCCUAGAGCUGCGGAAGUUCCAGUGGCCGUCCCACCGCACGUUCAAGCCUGACGUCGGCGAGAAGUACACUGGCAAGAUCCAUCCGUCCGAGUUCCUCAGCAUCUACACCAUCGUGAUGCAGGCGGCCGGAGCUCGCGACGACAAGGUGCUUGCCAAUUAUUUCCCGCUGGCACUGAAGCCCAAUGUUAUGUCUUGGUUGAUGCACUUGCCGGCGGAUUCCAUUUCUUCUUGGUCGGAUCUGUGCCAUGAGUUCGUUGGCGCCUUCACUGGAGGCCACCAAACUCAUGGCCAGGCCAGUGAUCUGCACAUCAUUCCCCAGAAGGAAGGGGAAACCCUGCGCAAGUACAUCCAGAGAUUCAGCCGGGUGCAGUACAACAUCCCCAACGCUCAUCCCGCCGCUGUGAUCAGCGCGUUCCAUCAGAACGUGCGCAACCGCAAGAUGCGCGAAGAGCUGGCGGUGACCAAGGUUAAGGAUGUGGCUGAGCUCUACGUUCUGGCCGAUAGAUGCACCCGGGCCGUAGAGGGAAGGAAGUAUCCCGGCGAAGACACCGGCACGGAAACCGACUCUACUGACGAAGACGCCGCCACCCCGACGAAGAAGGGUCGGCGUCGCAACAAGAAACGCAAGGGCAAGGCCAUACUUGCCGUCGAGAGGUCUGACGACACCGGCGCUGCCAAGAAGGUCAAGGCAGACGGCCCCGACAAGGAUAUUGCCGGGUGCGCCGCUUGCCGGGCCUUAGCAGCUGCCGACAACCCAGGGGGCUCCGGCAAGCAAUACUGCAAGAUCCACCGCACCAAGGGCCACGACCUCCAGAACUGCCGACAAGUCGAGCUGCUUGCUGAGAAGCAAAAAGCUGAGUACGAGAGGCGGGACAAGGAGAAGGGUCAGGACGGUGCCGAGGGAUCCGACAAGAAGCGUGGCGGCCAAGGAAGCCGCCCCGGCAAAGACAACCAGCAAGAGAGGCCCGCCCGGGGCCGUGACAAGAAACAAGAAGACGAUGAUCACGACGAGGACGAAGAGUCCGGUGAGCAAGAGUUCCAGAAGGCUACGGAGGCCAUGUGCAUCGAUGGUGGCGCCUCGUUGCAUACUUCUCACCGCCAGCUCAAACAGUGGGCGCGUGAGAUUACCGCAGCAGAGCCGUCGUUCGACGCUCAGAAGCCGCUGAAGUGGUCCAGCACGCCCCUCAUCUUCGAUGCCGAGGACCACCCUGACCGCACAACCUUGGUCGGGUGUUUGCCAUUGUUGGUCUUGCCAACGAUACGCAACCUCAAGGUGAACAAGAUGUUGGUUGACGGCGGGGCCGGCUUGAACUUGAUCUCGCCUGUCGUGAUCAAAAGGCUGCAAAUUCCUGAUGGAGACCUCGAGGAAACGGGCACGUUUCAAGGGGUCAAUCCGGGGAGGAGCCAGCCAAAGGGGAAGGUCACACUGCCCGUGAUGUUUGGAGGAGAGUUGAACUACAGGACAGAGAUGAUCACCUUCGACGUGGCCAAGAUCCCCUUGCCCUACAACGGGAUCCUCAGCCGCCCGACACUAGCCAAGUUCAUGGCGGUGUCACACUAUGCCUACAACAUGCUAAAGAUGCCCGAGCCGUUGACCAUCAUCUCCGUCCCCUCCGACAAGAAGGAUGCGCUGAUUUGCGCCGACCAACUCUACCGGGAAGCAGUUGCAGCAGCUGCCGUCAAGGCACCUGCUCCUGCCGCUGAAGGCCCGGGAGGGAAGAAGAAGCCCGGCAAGACCUCUCGCACCCACUCCGGCAAGCACACCUCUUCGGAGUGUUGCGCUACCGUCGAGGACGUGCCAGAAAGCUCUACUGGCAAGAGCAAGAAGUCCAGAGCUGAGCCGCCGCAGACCAAGAAGGUGUCCGCCAGGGAGGACGGCACGGGAGGGGCCUUCACCAUAGGCUCCACCCUCGACAGCAAAUAGGAAGGCGCGCUCGUCACCUUCCUGCGGGCGAAUGUCGACGUGUUUGCAUGGCAGGCGUCCGACAUCCCCGGUGUUCCCAGGGAGGUGAUUGAGCACCACCUAGCUGUCUGCCCUCAUGCGCGGCCCGUCAAGCAGAAGGUCAGAAAGCAGGCUCUGGAGAGGCAGGAAUUCAUCACAGAGGAGAUCAGGAAAUUGGAAGCGGCAGGUUUAGUGAGAGGAGUGCUCCACCCGACGUGUUUGGCCAAUCCGGUAGUGGUGCGCAAGGAAAAUGGGAAGUGGAGGCUGUGUAUUGAUUACACAGAUAUCAAUAAGGCUUGUCCUAAAGACCCCUUCCCGUUGCCGCGCAUCGACCAGAUCGUUGACUCCACGGCCGGGUGUGAUCUGUUGUCAUUCCUCGACGCCUACUCAGGCUACCACCGAAUCUUCAUGACAAGAGAGGAUGAAGAGAAGACAGCAUUCAUGACCCCAUGUGGUACGUUUUGCUUUUUACGGAUGCCUUUCGGGUUGAAGAGUGCUGGCUCAACGUUUGCAAGAGCAGUCCAAAUUGGUUUUGAACCUCAGCUCCAUAGAAAUAUGGAGGCAUACAUGGAUGACAUAGUGGUCAAAACCAAGGACGGGCCAACCCUUGUGCAAGAUCUGGAAGGGACAUUUGCCAACCUCUGCAAGAUCAACCUUAAGAUGAACCCUGAGAAGUGUGUCUUUGGCGUUCCGUCCAGCAAGCUUCUCGGGUUCUUUGUGUCGCAGCGCGGGAUCGAGGCAAACCCAGACAAAAUCAAAGCUAUUGAGCAGAUUGGGGCGCCCAAGCAGAUUAAAGAUGUACGUCGACUCACUGGCUGUGUUGCCUCCAUGAGCCGAUUCAUCUCCAAGUCCGCCGAGCACGCCCUUCCCUUCUUCAAAAUCUUGAAGAAGGCAGGCCCAGUGGAGUGGACCCCAGAAGCCGAGGCGGCGUUGCAGGAUCUGAAGAAAUACCUUUCCUCCACGCCAAUACUGGUUGCGCCUAAACCACAAGAGUCGUUACUGCUGUAUCUAGCGGCGAUGAAUCAAGUGGUCAGCGCCGCACUGGUGGCGCAGAGGGAGGUCGAUGAAGAGGCAGCGGCGAUGACAGAACCAGCGGAUGGUAGGCCAAAGAUUCCCCCGGCAGGGCCUGAUGCCGUCAAGGCAAGGCCCCCGACAGAGUCUGAUGCCACCGUGGUAGUGCCUGCGCAGUCGGUUGAGGUGGUGCAGAAGAAGAAGAUGAUGCAGCACCCGGUUUACUUUGUCAGCUCCCUCUUGCAGGGGGCCAGGUCGAGGUACUUCGGCGUGCAAAAAUUGCUCUUUGGCCUCCUUAUGGCCUCGAGGAAGCUGCGUCAUUACUUCCAAGCCCACGAGAUCACUGUCGUCACUCGCCUCCCAUUGCAACGGAUACUGCAUAACCAGAUGCAACUGGAAGGAUUGUGGAAUGGGCCUUGGAGUUGUCAAGUUUUGGUUUGAAGUUUGAAAGCACCUCGACAAUCCAGAGCAGAGUCCUGGCGGAGUUCAUUGCGGAAUGGACCUCAACGCCCGACGAAGAAAUCCAGGAGACCGCUCUCCCCGGCAAGGAAGCAGACCAUGACUGGAUCAUGUACUUUGAUGGGGCUUUCUCGCUACAAGGCGCCGGUACCGGCGUGCUGCUCAUCGCACCCACCGGAGAGCACCUCAAGUACGUGGUCCAGAUGCACUUUCCCAGGGAGAUGUCCACCAACAACACUGCGGAGUACGAGGGGUUGCUUGCCGGUCUCAGGAUCGCGGCGGACCUCGGGGUUAAGAAGCUCAUCGCCAGGGGUGACUCGCAGCUUGUUGUCAGACAGGUCAACAAGGAUUACCAGAGCCCGUUGAUGGAGGCUUACGUAGAUGAGGUGAGGAACCUGGAGGAGCGCUUUGACGGUAUCCAAGCGGAGCACGUCCCCCGAGUGGAGAACGACAUCGCCGAUUACCUGUCAAAGCGUGUUGCAUUCAAGAUACCUGCGGAACCAGGUACCUUCUUGCUCCGGUUAACUCAACCAUCCGUCGAACCAUCGACGGGGCAGAACAAGCGGAGGAAGUCAGGUCCCGACAAGUACUUUCCUACCGAGCCCCCUGGGGCCACCGGCAAGGGUGCUGCCGCGGACACUGAGCCCGCCAAAGGGCAGUUGGCUCCGGCAGGGCGUCAAGCCCUGGCCAUGGAGACAGCCGCGCCCAUGGCUGAGGAAAUGCCUUUGGUCCUUGCCGUUGAGCCCCAGGCUCCGGCGUGGGUGCAACAUACUGUCCGAUUCCUCCAAACAGGGGAACUUCCUGAGGAGCAGGAAGAAGCGGAAAAAGUAGCCCGCCGAUCCGCCCUGUACCAGUUCAUCGACGACGUCCUUUACAGGAGAAGGCCGAACGGCGUGAAAUUAAGAUGCAUCCCCCGGGAGGAUGGACUGGAGCUGUUGGCAGAGAUACAUGGAGGCAUAUGUGGCUCCCACAUAGGGUCGAGGGCCCUUGCCGGGAAGGCGUUCCGGCAAGGUUUCUUGUGGCCCACCACCCUCCAGGAUGCGACGGUACUAGUAACCAAGUGUGAAGCGUGCCAGUUCCAUUCAAAGAGACUUCAUCAACCAGCUCAAGCCCUUCAAACAAUCCCUCUCUCCUGGCCAUUCUCGGUCUGGGGGCUCGACAUACUGGGCCCCUUCCCCCGUGCUGUCCGCGGCUUUGAGUACUUGUACGUCGCAAUCGACAAGUUCACAAAGUGGCCGGAAGUGGAAGCAGUGAGAAAGGUGACUGCUCAGUCAGCUGUCAAGUUUUUCAAGGGACUGGUCUGCCGUUUUGGUGUACCGAACAGAGUCAUCACCGACAACGGCACACAGUUCACAAGCCACACCUUCAUGCAAUACAUUCAAGACCUCAGCAGCAAGGUCUGUUUUGCUCCCGUGGCCCACCCCCGGAGCAACGGCCAAGCAGAGAGGGCGAAUGCUGAAGUGUUGCGAGGCUUAAGAACCAAGACUUUUGACAAGCUGCACAAGAGUGGAAGGCGCUGGAUUGAUGAAUUGCCGCUGGUUCUUUGGUCGUUCAGGUCGACGCCAAAUCGAGCCACCAGCCAGACACCUUUUGCCGUGGUAUACGGGGCAGAAGCAGUUCUCCCCACGGAACUCAUAUAUGGGUCACCUCGAGUGCUCGCUUAUGAUGAGCUUGAGCAAGAGCAGUUGCGCCAAGAUGACGCGACGCUCCUUGAGUAAGAUCGUCUUCGGGCGGCUGUGAGAGCAGCACGCUACCAGCAAGCCUUGCGCCGCUAUCAUAGCCGCAAGGUUCAUGCCCGAAGCUUUGAGGAAGGCGACCUUGUUCUUCGGCGCGUUCAGUCGGCCAAGAAUUCCAACAAGUUGACGCCAAAGUGGAAAGGCCCUUAUCGGGUAACACGAGUCACCAGGCCCGGCGCAGUCCUCCUGAGACCGAAGAUGCUGUCAGUGAGCAACUCCUAGAGCAUCGAGCAUCUUCGCAAGUUUUACCCAUAAGGCGCGGCUUGUCGGGCCUCCCGGCAAGCCACCUUUUGUACAAGCUUUGCCGGCAAGGCAUGUAACCCUUUGUACAAAGCCAGGCACAGACCCUGAGCAUAAAUAAAUGUAGCGCUGGCGCCCUAAGUUAUAGCAUCCAUGCUAGGUCGAGUCUCUUCCUUGGUUAGGGUUGAUUGUGCUUAGCGGCGACUAACCCCUAGCCUAGAGGUCGAGUGCGCGUCUCUCUGUUUCUUUUCUGUCCUCUUUUGGUUCGCAGGGCACAUGAGGACUUCUGCUGAGCUACUUGGAAGAAAGGGCACGGACCGGCGUCUCAACCCCGGCAAACCAAAGUUGUCGGGGGCUGCAAGUACAAGGAUCCAACCGCGGCGAGAUAAGGUUGCCGGGGGCUGCAGAUCCAGAUAAGUCUUCUAUCCCCUGUCAUGCAUUUCGUUAUGAACUGGGAUAUGUGAAACCUUGUUUUAUUUCUAGGCCACCGUGCUCCCCUUUUCUAUACCCAAGGAUUACCUCCUGGGCCCGGAUUUGGUUCUAGUCGCGGCGGCAAGGAAAUAGAACGAGGAGCCUAAGCCCGCUUCAUCCCUGCCUCCACCAAGGGCGCGAGAGUGGUUGAGCAAAGUGGGGGAAUGGCAAGGCCUGUUGCCGGGCGGAAAACGUUUAUCUUGAAUAGUAACAAGGAUUCACUCCUUGUCGUGGGCUCCAUCCACGAACGAGAACCCCCGGCAAACACCCCUUUUUCAUUAAAAACAUCCCGUACAGGUACAGUUCAUACGAAAUGAAAAACAUGAACGAGGGGGAUUACAAGCUUUAAAAUUAACAAUGCCCGAAGGCUUACAGAUUAAAAAAGAGAUGAGGUGCCCGUAAUCCCUUUCUUGUCCCUCUCCUCAGGAGGCAGGUCAAGGAGGCGAAAGGGCAAAAGGGGCGCCUAGGCGAGCUACGAGCAGCAGAAAGCACCAAGAGAACACCUCGGUGGCCGCCCACGGAUGGGUCGGUGAUGACGUUGCCGGGAAAGGAGCUGGAAGACGAGGCGGCAGGACCGGCAAUACGCGAUGAAGGCGUCGGUGCCCGCGUACUCCGAGUUGACGGCCUUGCCGCCCGCCCUCCUCCUCUUCCGCAGCCUCCCGACGCCAGCCGCCCAAGGAGACGGCCCCAAGAAGUUCAAGGAGCUGGCCCCUCCCCUGGGAAAACUCUGCCGGAGGAGCGGCCAGGUACAGAUGCUGCUGCUGCCGCACCCGCCCAGGCUGCUGCUGCUGCCGCACUCGUCCCCGUCAUCUGCCCCGCUGUCCUCCUCAUCGCUUUCGCACGAGGAAGAGCUUCCGUCGUCGGAAUCUCCGUCGGAGGAGCUCUCCACUCAACACUUCAGGCGAGUCCCGAAGUCUCCGAAGACCUUGACGGAGACCAGGCCGUCCUCCAUUAAUUUGAAGUAGAGGACGAGCCCCGCCGUCAGGCUGUGGAUGCGAGCGAACGUCUUCCAUCCACGACGGAGGUACAUGACCCGAGGAGCCGGGAAGUCGACGUUGACCCGCGUGCCCCCAUUCCCACAGCCCCUCAUGUGCAAUCUGAGGGAUUGGGGCGGGUCACGCUCCAUCUCCCGAGCGAACGGGGAAGGAAGACGAAGACGGCGACGCGGAGGCUGGCACAGCCUGAUGAAGAACUCGCGGGGCUGGUCUCCGACAUGGCCCUCCAUCGGAACAUGCAUCAUUGGUGGGGGCGAAGCCGGCGCACCGCCCCGUCCUCCUCUUCCCCGAGCAACACGACCUCUGCCCCGGCCUCGCCCCCUCCCCCUUCCCCUCGCGGCUGGCUCCACCACCAUGGGCUCAGGAGGAGGAGGGACACGCUGUCGAGCAGCGACCCUCGCCGCCACCAUCGAGGGACCGGGAUUCCCUUUCUCCAUGGCGAGUGAAAGGAAGAAGCAGAAGCAGGAGGAUAUAGAUGACAGAAGAGCGCGGGAUGCCAUCCCCCUCCCCCUCCUUAUAGAGGGGCGGGGUCGGGGCUCGGCCGCCCCGCUCGGCCAAUCCAGCCACCAGGGGCGCAGGGAAUCGAGACCGACCCGCUGUCCCAAUCAGCGAUGGACCGGUUUCCCGCCUCCACUGCUUGCCACCCCAAGCCCAAGAAGGACGCGUGGCGAACGUGCAGAAUCAAGGGGACGGGUGAAGCGACCUCUCUCCGCCCCGUGAGCGUGGGGUGUGGACGCCUUGAAGACCGCGACCCGGCCCCGCGCAGUAAAUGAGCCGCGCCUCCUAGCCUCCCUCUUUUUAUGGGGAAGACGCGAGCCGCCUCUUUACCAUGAUGUGACGCAUGCAUGAGGAAACUGCCCCACGCAUGCCGCCCACGUCACGCGCAUCCCGUCCACGCCACGCCACGCCGCACGCGGGUCGUGGGAAGUGCAGCGCGCGAAAAGUUUUACCGCGGUAAAAACCGCCCUGCCUGCCCGUGCACCGUUUUGGGCCUAGCCCAACAACGUGUCGCGCUUAUGUAUGGCCCAGGCCCGGGGGCUCCUGUCGGUGUACAAACAAAGGGGCGCACCUUUGUACCCCUUUACCUGUGCACGGGCAGUCGGAGCCGCGCCCACGGCCACACCAAGCAGAGCAGGGGAGGUGAACCAAGGUAAAACCGAAGCCCGAGGCAGCUAGAGCAACGCCAAGACCAAGGAAGCAAAGAAGCAGAGGGGCGGAGCAGUUUCCCCCUGCAAGACCCUUGCCGAGGAUGGCCUCAGCAGCCCCGGCAAGGCCCUUGCUGGGGCAGCACGCCCAAACACCAACAGAGCGAGCCACCCUUGAGCCCACACCAUCAACCACGUUGGGCCAGGGCUCGGGAGGCACCUCUGUGGUGGCAUGCAGAUCUUUCUGAAGACAAGGAACACUCAAGAUCAGAUGAGGAUUAGAAGAUGACGACCCUCGGCAAGAUCCUUGCCGAGGAAGGCCACUAGAUCCCCGGCAAGGUCCUUGCCGGGCCACCUGGCAAGGCCCUCACCAAGGACGCCAGCAGGGCCACUGUCAGGCCCGCACCAACCAAGUUUCCACCGCCGUUCACAUGCAGCUGCCAGCUGAACCAGCUGAGUAGGCACCUGCGUGGCAACAUGGAGCUCCCGGGCCAACUCCAAGCGCUUGCGUGGCGGCAUGCAGAUCUUCGUAGAGGCUCCACCACCGCCCCACCUCAGCUGCCUGCCUGCCUACAUGGCGCCGCAUGCAUCACUAGCCGGGGCGCGUGUCGAAGCAAGGAGGAGCAGCGACGGACGGUACGGGCCUCGCCCCCGUCCCCGAUAAAGCUAGGGGACACCUCAGAAGCGCAUUAAAUGCGUCUUGUCCUGUAAUACGAGCGAUAAGCUCGCAAUACUGUAUGCCUUUCCACCUCCUAUAUGCCACUAUAGUAGCCCCUUUCGACUAUAAAAGGAGGCCCAUGGCAUACUGGAGAAGGAUUCGCCUCUUUGGGACCGCUCACCCCACCAUAGCUAGUUUGAGAGCUCAAGAACUCUCUGAAAUACACCCACCAAAGCAGGACUAGGGUUUUACGCAUCCUCACGGCCCGCACCUGGGUAAACGAUCCUUGUGCUGAUUACUAAUCCUGCUCUUCUCGCAACCCUGCGCCCCGGCAACCGUAGUAGGGAUUCUUGUGAUCCCAUAGGUGUCGUUCCACACCGACACCCAAACUCACUCGGAACCCUUCCGAUGUCCAAACAUAUCAUUCCAAUAUCUCGAUCUUUAUGUCUCGACCAUUUCGAGACUCCUCGUCAUGUCCGUGAUCUCAUCCGGGACUCCGAACAACCUUCGGUACAUCAAAACACAUAAACUCAUAAUACCGAUCGUCACCGAAUGUUAAGCGUGCGGACCCUACGGGUUCGAGAACUAUGUAGACAUGAACGAGACUCGUCUCCGGUCAAUAACCAAUUGCGGAACCUGGAUGCUCAUAUUUGUUCCUACAUAUUCUACGAAGAUUUUUAUCGGUCAAACCGCAUAACAACAUACGUUGUUCCCUUUGUCAUCAGUAUGUUACUUGCCCGAGAUUUGAUCGUCGGUAUCUCAAUACCUAGUUCAAUCUCGUUACCGGCAAGUCUCUUUACUCGUUCCGUAAUGCAUCAUCCUGCAACUAACUCAUUAGUCACAUUGCUUGCAAGGCUUAUAGUGAUGUGCAUUACCGAGAGGGCCCAGAGAUACCUCUCCGACAAUCGUAGUGACAAAUCCUAAUCUUGAUUUAUGCCAACUCAACGAACACCAUCAGAGACACAUGUAGAGCAUCUUUAUAAUCACCCAGUUACAUUGUGACGUUCGAUAGCACAUAAAGUGUUCCUCCGGUAUUCGGGAGUUGCAUAAUCUCAUAGUCAUAGGAACAUGCAUAAGUCAUGAAGAAAGAAAUAACAACAAACUAAACGAUCAUCGUGCUAAGCUAACGGAAUGGGUCAAGUCAAUCACAUCAUUCUCUAAUGAUGUGAUCCUGUUAAUCAAAUGAUAACUCUUGUCUAUGGCUAGGAAACUUAACCAUCUUUGAUUCAACGAGCUAGUCAAGUAGAAGCAUACUAGUGACACUCUGUUUGUCUAUGUAUUCACACAUGUACUAAGUUUCCGGUUAAUACAAUUCUAGCAUGAAUAAUAAACAUUUAUCAUGAUAUAAGGAAAUAUAAAUAAGAACUUUAUUAUUGCCUCUAGGGCAUAUUUCCUUCAAAUGCCACUUUAGUGAUUUUUGCUGACAUCGAGAGCAAAAGUCGACUGAAAGUUAUCAACAGGGAAGUGAACAUGGUCGCUCCGGCAACAACGACAUAUCUGAAGUGGACAAAAACUCCCAUUACAUUCGACCAGUCCGAUCACCUAGCGCAUGUUGCUACCCCCGGGCAGCAAGCGUUGGUGGUCGACCUAAUCGUUGGGAGCACUCGGCUGACCAAAGUCUUGAUGGACGCUGGCAGUGGUUUGAACAUUUUGUACGCUGAGACCCUCCGAGCGAUGGGCAUUCCGAUGUCCAAACUCAGUGAGAGCAAUAUGAGAUUCCAUGGAGUUAUCCCAGGAAAGAAGGCCGACUCACUCGGUCAGAUCACUCUUGAAGUGGUUUUCGGUGAUUCAAAGAAUUACCGCAAGGAAAAGUUGACAUUUGAAGUCGUGGAUUUUCACAGUGCCUAUCAUGCCAUUCUGGGCGGGCCUGCAUAUGCUCGUUUCAUGGCACAACCUUGUUACGUGUACCUCAAGUUGAAGAUGCCUGGUCCCAGAGGUGUGAUUACAGUCACUCGGAAUCGGCAGAGAGCAGAAGAGUGCCUCCAGAAGGGCUCAAAGAUCACCGGUGAACAGAUGGCAACAGUAGAGAUGCAAGAAUACCAGAAGAAUGCAGAUCCGAGUGAUUUCUUACGUGCUAAGAAGCCUGCUUUAGAGUCUGCAUUUCAGUCGUCCGGUGAAACGAAACCAGUUCACAUUCACCCGACCGAUCCCAAUGCUGCUCCGACUCAUAUCUCAACAACACUCGACAGCAGAUAAGAAGAAGCGCUCAUCCAGUUCCUCCGUGAGAACUGGGACAUCUUCGCAUGGAAACCGUCUGACAUGCCAGGUGUCCCCAGGGAACUGGCUGAGCACCGUUUGUGAGUCGACCCGAAAGCAAGACCCGUUAAAGAGCAGCUCCGUCGGUCCACCGUGGAGAAGAGGAAGGCAAUUGGCGAAGAGGUGGCUCGGGUUCUGGCAGCUGAGUUCAUCCGCGAGAUAUACCACUCCGAGUGGCUCGCCAAUGUUGUCAUGGUCCCCAAGAAAGAUGAUUCACUUCGUAUGUGUAUCGACUUCAAGCAUAUCAAUCGGGCCUGCCCGAAAGAUCAUUUCCCUCUACCCCGCAUCGAUCAAAUUGUCGACUCGACUGCGGGAUGUGAGCAUCUGCCCUUUUUGGACGCAUAUUCCAGGUACCAUCAGAUCCGACUGUAUGGACCUGAUGAAAUAAAAACGGCCUUCAUCACCCCAUUUGGGUGUUUUUGCUAUGUUACCAUGCCUUUCGGCCUUUCGGCUGCUGGCGCCACAUUCAUGCGCAUGAUUCAGAAGUUCCUGCUCACUCAAAUCAGUCGGAAUGUGGAAGCAUACAUGGAUGACAUCGUGGUCAAGUCACGUAAAGGUUCCGACCUACUGUCUGACCUCACUGAAACUUUUGCCAACUUGAGAAGAUACAAUAUCAAGCUUAACCUGUCAAAAUGCACAUUCGGAGUCCCAGUUGGAAAGUUGCUCGGUUUCCUCGUUUCCGAACAAGGGAUCAACGCAAACCCAGAGAAAGUUGGAGCAAUCCUCCGAAUGAAAAGCCCUGUGUGUGUGUGCAUGAUGUUCAGAAGCUUGCUGGUUGUUUGGCUGCAUUGAGACGAUUCAUCUCUCGUCUUGGUGAAAAGGCAUUGCCUCUUUACCGACUGAUGAAAAAAUCUGACUUCGAGUGGAGUCCUGAAGCUGAUGCAACAUUUGUAGAGCUCAAAACCCUGCUUUCCACCCAGCCGGUGCUUGCUGCUCGAAUCAGCAAAGAGCCUUUACUGCUAUACAUUGCAGCCAUUGGACAAGUUGUCAGUACAGUACUCAUGGUCGAGCGGGAACAAGAAGGCAAAGCCUAUAAAGUCAGCGCCCAGUGUAUUAUAUUUCUGAAGUCUUGACUCCGUCCAAGCAGAGACAUCCACAUUAUCAGAAGCUUGUCUAUGGAAUUUACAUGACCACGAAGAAAGUUGCACACUACUGUUCAUACCACUCGGUCUCAGUCGUCAGCGACGCUCCAUUAUCAGAAAUUCGGAACGAUAGGGAUGCAACUGGUCGAGUGGCAGAAUGGGCGAUUUAACUCCUUCCGUUGGAUAUCAAGUUUGAGGCAAAGAAAGCUAUCAAGUCCCAAGAAAUAGCAGAUUUCCUCGCCGAGUGGAUUGAACAGCAGCAACCGACUCAGAUUUAGUCGGAACAUUGGACUAUGUUCUUUGAUGGGUCCAAGAUAUUGAAUGGCUCUGGCGCUGGUGUAGUUCUGGUAUCUCCCAGAGGUGACAAGCUCAGCUACGUUCUCCAUAUUCACUUUGAUUCUUCCAACAAUGAAGCCUAAUAUGAGGCACUUCUGUAUGGGUUGUGUAUGGCUAUUUCACUCGGCGUCCGACGCCUGAUAGUUUACGGUGACUAAGAUUUAGUGGUCAAUCAAGUGAUGAAGGAGUGGGAUAUCAGGAGCCCAACUAUGACCGGUUAUUGCAAUGCAGUAAGAAAGUUGGAAAAGAAGUUUGAGGGGUUAGAGCUCCACCACAUCCCCCGAAUCAAGAAUCAAGCAGCAGAUGACCUGGCGAAGUUAGGUUCCACUCGGAAGCCUAUACCCAGCAAUGUGUUUUUGGAGCAUCUCCAUUCCCCGUCAGUCCAAGAGGAUCCUUUCACAGAAGAGCCGCCGCAACCGAAAAGUUCUACCGAUCCAACUGAGAUUGAAGUCCCGGCCAUAGUUGACCUAAUCAUGGAAGUUGUGGUAAUCACCCCCGACUGGACAGUGCCAUACAUUGCGUACCUGCUCAGGAAGGAGCUUCCGGAGGAUGAAGAUGAAGCCCGUCAGAUUGUCCGUCGAUCCAAAGCCUUCACGGUGAUAGGUGAUCAACUCUACAGAGAAAGUGUUAUCGGGGUUGCUCAGCGAUGUAUCACACCAGAGGAAGGUCGAAUGAUUCUGAAUGAUAUCCAUUCGGGUACCUGCGGUCACCAUGCCUCCUCUCGGACCAUCGUAGCCAAAGCAUACCGAGCGGGAUUCUACUGGCCGUGUGCAAAUGAGAUGGCAAAAGAUAUAGUCGACAAGUGUGAAGGCUGCCAGUUCUACUCAAACAUGUCACACAAGCCUGCAUCUGCCCUGAAGACUAUUCCUCUCGUCUAGCCAUUUGCUGUUUGGGGGUUAGAUAUGGCGGGACCCUUCAAGACCGGAAGAACUGGUUUCACUCAUUUGCUCGCGGCAGUCGACAAAUUCACUAAAUGGAUCGAAGCCAAGCCUAUCAAGAAUCUUGAUACAAGAACUGCCAUCAGUUUCAUCAAAGAGCUGAUAUUCAGAUAUGGAGUCCCUCACCGCAUUAUCACAGAUAAUGGCUCCAACUUUGAUUCUGAUGAGUUCAGAGCAUACUGCGCUUCCCAAGGCACUCAGGUCGACUACGCAUCUGUUGCGCACCCACAGUCGAAUGGGCAGGUAGAAAAGGCGAAUGGUUUGAUCCUUCAAGGGCUGAAACCCCGACUGAUGCGCGAUCUCAAGCAUGCUGCUGGAGCUUGGGUGACUGAAUUGCCAUCUGUCUUAUGGGGCCUGAGGACAACUCCGAACUGGUCGACUGACCGAACCCCCUUCUUCAUGGUGUAUGGUGCUGAAGCUGUACUUCCGAGCGACUUAGUGCACAACGCUCCCCGAGUGGAACUUUUCUCAGAAGUUGAAGCUGAGUAGGCACGCCAAGAUGCAGUAGAUCUCUUGGAGGAAGAACGCGAAAUGGCUCUAAUCCGGUCGACCAUAUACCAACAAGACUUGCGUCGAUUCCAUGCCCGAAAUGUCAGGGGUCGGGCAUUCCAAGAGGGAGACCUUGUGCUCCGAGUGCAACAGAAACAACCUCACAAGCUUGCUCCAGCCUGGGAGGGUCCCUUCAUCAUCAACAAAGUGCUCCACAACGGGGCGUAUCACCUCUACAACAUAGCCAAGAAAGAAGACGAGCCACGCUCGUGGAAUGCGGAGCUGCUCUGCCGUUUUUAUACCUGAACACUCGGAUCGACGAGUUGUAAUAAGAAUCCUUCAGUUUGCUUAUCAAAGACAAGAUUUUUGCAGUAUCUUAAUGAUUGUUAUCCCAUAGACACGUGUGUUUAAAUCCCCCGCCACGAACCUGAUUCGCCUAAGUUUCAAAAACACUCUGAGUGGAGAGCAAUCCUCCCACUCGGGGGCUUAGCCGCGAACCUGAUUCGCCUAAGUUUCAAAAACACUCCAAGUGGAGAGCAAUCCUCCCACUAGGGGGCUUAGCCGCGAACCUGAUUCGCCUAAGUUUCAAAAANNNNNNNNNNNNNNNNNNNNNNNNNNNNNNNNNNNNNNNNNNNNNNNNNNNNNNNNNNNNNNNNNNNNNNNNNNNNNNNNNNNNNNNNNNNNNNNNNNNNNNNNNNNNNNNNNNNNNNNNNNNNNNNNNNNNNNNNNNNNNNNNNNNNNNNNNNNNNNNNNNNNNNNNNNNNNNNNNNNNNNNNNNNNNNNNNNNNNNNNNNNNNNNNNNNNNNNNNNNNNNNNNNNNNNNNNNNNNNNNNNNNNNNNNNNNNNNNNNNNNNNNNNNNNNNNNNNNNNNNNNNNNNNNNNNNNNNNNNNNNNNNNNNNNNNNNNNNNNNNNNNNNNNNNNNNNNNNNNNNNNNNNNNNNNNNNNNNNNNNNNNNNNNNNNNNNNNNNNNNNNNNNNNNNNNNNNNNNNNNNNNNNNNNNNNNNNNNNNNNNNNNNNNNNNNNNNNNNNNNNNNNNNNNNNNNNNNNNNNNNNNNNNNNNNNNNNNNNNNNNNNNNNNNNNNNNNNNNNNNNNNNNNNNNNNNNNNNNNNNNNNNNNNNNNUGGAGCGCAAUCCUCCCACUCGGGGGCUUAGUCGCGACCCCGUACUCGCCUAAGUUUCAAAAACACCCCGAGUGGAGAGCUACCCUCCCACUCAGUGGCUUAGCCGCGAACCUGAUUCGCCUAAGUUUCAAAAACACUCCGAGUGGAGGCAAUCCUCCCACUGGGGGCUUAGCCGCGACCCCGUACUCUCCUAAGUUUCAAAAACACCCCGAGUGGAGAGCGAUACUCCCACUCGGGAGCUUAGCCGCGAACCUGAUUCGCCUAAGUUUCAGAAACACUCCGAGUAGAGAGCAAUCCUCCUACUCGCUGCUUAGCCGCGACCCCUGUUUGGGGGUUGGAUAUGGUUGGACCCUUCAAGACCGGCAGAAGUGGUUUCACUCAUUUGCUCGUGGCAGUCGACAAAUUCACUAAAUGGAUCGAAGCCAAGCCUAUCAAGAAUCUUGAUUCAAGCACUGCCAUCAGUUUCAUCAGAGAGCUGAUAUUCAGAUAUGGAGUCCCUCACAGCAUUAUCACAGAUAAUGGCUCCAACUUUGAUUCUGAUGAGUUCAGAGCAUACUGCGCUUCCCAAGGCAGUCGGGUCGACUACGCAUUUGUUGCGCACCCGCAGUCGAAUGGGCAGGUAGAAAGGGCGAAUGGUUUGAUCCUUCAAGGGCUGAAACCACGACUGAUGCGCGAUCUCAAGCAUGCUGCUAGAGCUUGGGUGACUGAAUUGCCAUCUGUCUUAUGGGGCCUGAGGACCACUCCGAACCGGUCGACUGACCGAACCCCCUUCUUCAUGGUGUAUGGUGCUGAAGCUGUACUUCCGAGCGACUUAGUGCACAACGCUCCCCGAGUGGAACUUUUCUCAGAAGCUGAAGGUGAGUAGGCACGCCAAGAUGCAGUAGAUCUCUUGGAGGAAGAACGUGAAAUGGCUCUAAUCCGGUCGACCAUCUACCAACAAGACUUGCGUCGAUUCCAUGCCCGAAAUGUCAGGGGUCGACCAUUCCAAGAGGGAGACCUUGUGCUCCGAGUGCAUCAGAAACGACCUCACAAGCUCGCUCCGGCCUGGGAAGGUCCCUUCAUCAUCAACAAAUUUCUCCACAACGGGGCGUAUCACGUCUACAACGUAGCCAAGAAAGAAGACAAGCCACGCUCGUGGAAUGCGGAGCUGCUCCGCCGUUUUUAUACCUGAACACACGGAUCGACGAGUUGUAAUAAGAAUCCUUUAGUUUGCUUAUCAAAGACAAGAUUUUUGCAGUAUCUUAAUGAUUGUUAUCACAUAGAGACGUGUGUUUAAAUCCACCACCGCGAACCUGAUUCGCCUAAGUUUCAAAAACACUCCGAGUGGAGAGCAACCCUCCCACUCGGGGGCUUAGCCGCGAACCUGAUUCGCCUAAGUUUCAAAAACACUCCCAGUGGAGAGCAAUCCUCCCACUAGGGGGCUUAGCCGCGAACCUGAUUCGCCUAAGUUUCAAAACCAUUCCGAGUGGAGAGUAUUCCUCCCACUCGGGGGCUNNNNNNNNNNNNNNNNNNNNNNNNNNNNNNNNNNNNNNNNNNNNNNNNNNNNNNNNNNNNNNNNNNNNNNNNNNNNNNNNNNNNNNNNNNNNNNNNNNNNNNNNNNNNNNNNNNNNNNNNNNNNNNNNNNNNNNNNNNNNNNNNNNNNNNNNNNNNNNNNNNNNNNNNNNNNNNNNNNNNNNNNNNNNNNNNNNNNNNNNNNNNNNNNNNNNNNNNNNNNNNNUUCGAAAACACUCCGAAUGGAGAGCAAUCCACCCACUCGGGGGCUUAGCCGCAAACCUGAUUCGCCUAAGUUUGAAAAACACUCCAAGUGGAGAACAAUCCUCCCACUCGGAGGCUUAGCCGCGACCCCGUACUCGCCUAAAUUUCAGAACCACCCCGAGUGGAGAGCGACCCUCCCACUCGGGGGCUUAGCCGCGAACCUGAUUCGCCUAAGUUUCAAAAACACUCUGAGUGGAGAGCAAUCCUCCCACUCGGGGGCUUAGUCGCGAGCCCGUACUCGCCUAAGUUUCAAAAACACCCCGAGUGGAGAGCGACCCUCCCAUUCGGGGGCUUAGCCACGAAUCUGAAUCGCCUAAGUUUCAAAAACACUCCGAGUGGAGGCAAUCCUCCCACUCAGAGGCUUAGCCGCGACCCCGUACUCUCCUAAGUUUCAAAAACACCCCGAGUGGAGAGCGACACUCCCACUCGGGGGCUUAGCCGCGAACCUGAUUUGCCUAAGUUUCAGAAACACUCCGAGUGGAGAGUAAUCCUCCCACUCGGGGCUUAGCCGCGACCCCUGUUUGGGGGUUGGAUAUGGUUGGACCUUUCAAGAACGACAGAAGUGGUUUCACUCAUUUGCUCGCGGCAGUCAACAAAUUCACUAAAUGGAUCGAAGCCAAGCCUAUCAAGAAUCUUGAUUCAAGCACUGCCAUCAGUUUCAUCAGAGAGCUGAUAUUCAGAUAUGGAGUCCCUCACAGCAUUAUCACAGAUAAUGGCUCCAACUUUGAUUCUGAUGAGUUCAGAGCAUACUGCGCUUCCCAAGGCACUCGGGUCGACUACACAUCUGUUGCGCACCCGCAGUCGAAUGGGCAGGUAGAAAGGGCGAAUGGUUUGAUCCUUCAAGGGCUGAAACCCCGACUGAUGCGCGAUCUCAAGCAUGCUCUUGGAGCUUGGGUGACUGAAUUGCCUCUGUCUUAUGGGUCCUGAGGACAACUCCGAACCGGUCGACUGAUCGAACCCCUUCUUCAUGGUGUAUGGUGCUGAAGUUGUACUUCCGAGUGACUUAGUGCACAACGCUCCCCGAGUGGAACUUUUCUCAGAAGCUGAGGCUGAGUAGGCACGCCAAGAUGAAGUAGAUCUCUUGGAGGAAGAACACGAAAUGGCUCUAAUCCGGUCAACCAUCUAGCAACAAGACUUGCGUCGAUACCAUGCCCGAAAUGUCAGGGGUCGAGCAUUCCAAGAGGGAGACCUUGUGCUCCGGGUGCACCAGAAACGACCUCACAAGCUCGCUCCGGCCUGGGAAGGUCCCUUCAUCAUCAACAAAGUGCUGCACAACGGGGCGUAUCACCUCUACAACGUAACCAAGAAAGAAGAUGAGCCACGCUCGUGGAAUGCGGAGCUGCUCCGCAGUUUUUAUACCUGAACACAUGGAUCGACGAGUUGUAAUAAGAAUCCUUCAGUUUGCUUAUCAAAGACAAGAUUUUUGCAGUAUCUUAAUGAUUGUUAUCCCAUAGACACGUGUGUUUAAAUCCCCCGCCACGAACCUGAUUCGCCUAAGUUUCAAAAACACUCCGAGUGGAGAGCAAUCCUCCCACUCGGGGGCUUAGCCGCGAACCUGAUUCGCCUAAGUUUCAAAAACACUCCAAGUGGAGAGCAAUCCUCCCACUAGGGGGCUUAGCCGCGAACCUGAUUUGCCUAAGUUUCAAAAAUAUUCCGAGUGGAGAGUAAUCCUCCCACUCGAGGGCUUAGCCGCGAACCUGAUUCGCCUAAGUUUCAAGAACACUCCGAGUGGAGAGCAAUCCACCGACUCGGGGGCUUAGCCGCAAACCUAAUUCACCUAAGUUUCAAAAACACUCCAAGUGGAGAGCAAUCCUCCCACUCGGGGCUUAGCCGCGACCCCGUACUCGCCUAAAUUUCAAAAACACCCCGAGUGGAGAGCGACCCUCCGACUCGAGGGCUUAGCCGCAAACCUGAUUCGCCUAAGUUUCAAAAACACUCCGAGUGGAGCGCAAUCCUCCCACUCGGGGGCUUAGUCGCGACCCUGUACUCGCCUAAGUUUCAAAAACACCCCGAGUGGAGAGCGACCCUCCCACUCGGGGGCUUAGCUGCGAACCUGAUUCGCCUAAGUUUCAAAAACACUCCGAGUGGAGGCAAUCCUUCCACUCGGGGGCUUAGCCGUGACCCCGUACUCGCCUAAAUAUCAAAAACACCCCGAGUGGAGCGUGACCCUCCUACUCGGGGGCUUAGCCGCGAACCUGAUUCCCCUAAGUUUCAAAAACACUCCGAGUGGAGAGCAAUCCUCCCACUCGAGGGCUUAGUCGCGACCCCGUACUCGCCUAAGUUUCAAUAACACCCCGAGUGGAGAGCGACCCUCCCACUCGGGGGCUUAGCCGCGAACCUGAUUCGCCUAAGUUUCAAAAACACUCCGAGUGGAGGCAAUCCUCCCACUCGGGGGCUUAGCCGUGAUGUAACGCCCACGAUGCGGCUAUAUCUCCCACGUGUCGAGGCUCAACUUAGAGGCAUAACCGCAUAGUGGUUUUGACAAGUUGGUAAUCAGGGCCAUCCCCAACUUAGGAGCCCCCUGCUUGAUCGAAUCGCUGGCGUUGUUGAGUCUAGAACAAAAAAAUGUUUUGAGUCUUAGGAUUAUAUAUAUCGGAGAGUAGGGUUCUUUUUACUCCUCAGUCCCUUCGUCGCUCUGGCGAGGUCUCCUGACGUAGAAGUUUUGACUAUUCUCUCCUCAAAUUUCACUAAAAAAAAA
rnacentral:lncRNA from 1 species